UUUUUUUUUUUUUUUUUUUGUCAAUCGCCAACCCUAUUUCUACUUCUACUCUAUUUAGCGGAGAUCCAAUUCGACCUAUGAGGGGUCGGUGGGAACAGAACCACUACCGGAACAAGUGGAACUUAAUUAGAGUACAAGAGAAUCAGAAUAUUAAGAGAAGUAGUAAAACUGUAAAAUUGAAGAUUUUCCAAAUGUUUGUCUCCCCGAAUUAAGCUGCUGUGAACUUCUGACAUGUCCACCACCAUGUUCAUCUAUAAUUGUCAGUGUCUUGCACAGUGAAAUGUACAGGAACCUACCAUGUAGGAUCUGGAAAAAGAUUGUUCUACCAUGUGAGAAAAUGUGAGCCUACAGAACUUCUAUAUACGACGCUGCUGAUGCCUGAUGUUGAUAUUGUUGUGUUUUUUUUUUUUUUGAGGGAGGGGUUUCCCGGGGGCUCUAGAUUGCUGUGGCUGGGCUAGAUUUGCAGUGACUGAUAAUGAUAGUCAUGAUUUGAUUUCUCACAACCGUCCGCCGCUUCUGCAGAACCAUGCAUAAUAUUCUGCCGCAGUAGAAGAGUGAAUAUUAAUAUUACUACUUAGUACAAGACAUUAUUGGAUCUCGUGAAGGUUAAUUACGGGAAAUACCCUAAAUAAACCCAACUCAUAAUUCAUAACUUAUUAAUCCUAUUAGAUGGAAAAAAAAAAAAAAACGCCCUUCUUUAAACAGUACUCAUAGUUUUGUAGUUAAUGACGAAAUAAUAUUUGUUUAUUAUAGUUUAUUUAGACUAAUAUUAAAACGAGAGGCUAAGUCAAGCCCGCAAUACCCUCCACAAAUAAAUAAAUGAGAAAAAAUUUAAAUUCACCCAGACCCAACCUAUGAUCUUACUUAUAACUAUACGGCUAUUCUUACAUCAUCUUAUUUCACCUAUCAUUAUUUCUUUUCUCUUUAUUUAUUUUUUAAAAAGAAUUUCUCUCACUUUUUACGUCAUCAUCGAAUAACGUGACGACACUCAAAUAUAUCACAUCUACUACAAAUGAAUGAACGUGUAAAGUAGGUCCAUCCAAAUAUUUUAAUUAGAUUGCUAAACUGUAUCCAAUUAGCUAUUUUUCAGCGUGGGAUUGCACCGAAACGGUAAGUAAGCGAAGUAACAAAAAAGAAAUUUUUUUUUUUUAUUAUUAUUGAUUGAGUAGGUUAGAGAUGGACAUCAAAAUAUGCUGCUUGUCUCACUUUCUCAUGCAAAGCAAUGCACGCGCACGCCCACGGAUACAUAAAAAGCGUACAGCAGCAAAAGGUGGGGUGGGGCUGGGGAAGCUGUUUUCUGGAGAAAAAGGGACAUGGCAUCUCUCACUGGGAUUGUGCAUUUCGGCCCCCUUCAACUUCAAGUCUGCCAAUUCGAUAAUCCGUCACAUCCAUCGCUCUCGUGUACUUGGAGCUAGGGGGUCAAGCUUACUUACUGCUAGUCUUGAGUGGCGUGGCAUUGGCCCUCUUAACCGCCCAAACAUCCUGUGGAGUUCAGGUGACCAUUUUUUGGUCCCCGGCCUACCUUAAUCAUAUGGCAUCUAGCUAUGCUGGCCUGCUACUGCCACUGCUCCUCUACUCCAUCCAUCCAUCCUUCCAAUCCCAAAGCUUCAAUUUCCACACUCCAUCCAUCCAUUGAUUGAUUGAUUGAUCUGACUGCCCCCAAGCGUAACUCCCCCCCUCCUUCCUACUCCUCCUACUAUUACCGCUGCUACUACUAAUUAUAGACGCCCGUGGAGUGGAAUGGAGUGUUGUAGGCUAGCUGCCGAAUUCCUCACCAACGAACACUUUCCACAGCCUACCGUGUACGAGGAUUCCCAUUUCGUUACUACUACUGACUCCGUUAUCUUUUUGUCCCCUUUCGUUAAUGGGUUUUAACAGUAGUAGUAGCAGCAGUAGUUCCACUUUUCUGUAUGCGGUGAAUUACUAAUCAGGCAGGCAUGUUUCUACAACUUGAAGAGACCAGCUGAAAUUUUUUCCCUUGAAUGAUGCUUUACCAUGCAUGGGAUUGUUGGUGACGCAAAUCAAAAGAUUAGGCAAUCUAUGCGGCAACACAUGUAGUUAGGAGACCAGCUGCAAAAUGGAUUCGUUGUCCCUGUCGUGUCGUGUCGUGGGGGAUUUUUUUACUUUAAGGUCCUGCGGGCCUUUUUCUUUCCUUUUGGUCAAAAAAGCUCAUCUCGCUCACACCAGAUUUUUUUAUUAAAAAAAAAUAAAGUGAACCAAAAAGGAAAAAAAAAAAAAGGAAUUUUUGGUACUGUCAUUUUAGCCUUCAAUAUCAGAUUUUACUGAUCCAGACGACACCAAACUGGUUGGGCAGGCCAGUUUGGAUCCAAUAAUUACUGAUCCAAAAGGGAGAUAGGCUUCGGUCCUGUUUGUUGUCUAUUUGGUUUUGGUUUGGACCAUGUUGUUAAGCCCUCUUGUGAAUUGGAUUUUUUCGGUUUAAGAAAAUAGAUUAAGCCCAAGGAUUGCUAUUCUCGGCAAGCUUACAGGCCCUGCUGUCAACACCCCGCUCAUUGUAAUCAUCUGCCCCAUUUUUGUCCCAGCCACCUCGCGGUGGCAGGAUUCCCUGUAUCGGGUGCUUAUGGGUUGACUGGGCUUUCAUCCAUUUCUUGGCUUCUAAAUUUCACAAGGCCAAGUACCGCUCUUUGCUAGUCUCAGCAAGUUUGUACAGUUACGUCUGUGACGGGCCAGGAAAAUUGCUGCUGUUGAAUGAGCCCAGGAAGAUGGCCUGAUAAUUGCAAUCUCAAUGCGCAAAUUGCAAUGCCUUGUGAAGUGCAGAAAUGUCCGUACGUAUGAAGUUUAGAAAGUUUUGGGAAAGUAUGAUAAUAGACGGACUAAUUUGUCCCUAUCUUAAAAUUUUUUGACAAAUUUAUCUCUGUUAGUUAAUUUAAAUUUUUGUGACCAAUUUGCUCCAACUUACAUAUAAUGAAAAGGACUAUAUUGCCCUUAUUAACCUUAUUUUCUCAACCAAAUUCUAUAUAAAUACAUAAUCUUAUCAAUUGAGCUUUUUGCAAAUGAAUGCUUCAAUAAGCCUAAACUAGAUCCCAAAAAAAAAAAACCUUCUAUAUUGACUUGAGUUUGGCUUAUUUAAAACUCUUAAAUGGGUUGAAUUUUAUUCAAUUUAACCUAAUUUAGCGAAAACUCGGCCCAUUAUUUAAUUGAAUUUCAAUUUUAGAUUCAGAAACUAGAUUAAAACCUAUUUUUAAGGGCCAAAUGAGCUGAGUUUGAGUGAAUGCAAAUUUGUAUAUAUCAAAACCCUUAAUUUACUUUAUAAUUCUAAAGUUUCAAAUUACUUUAUUUUAAUAAAAGUUAUAAAUUAUUAAAUUCUUUUAUUCAAACGAUCAUACAAAUUAAGGAGUAUUUUGUUCAUUAAAAUAGUAAUCAUCAUAUUUCUUCCAAUUUCCAACCAAACAUAUGAUAAGAUUAUUUCCUAGUAUAUCCUAUCCAAUCUAGAACCAAUCAAACACUAAAUAAUUCGGAUUAUUAAUUCGAAAAUGACUCAACUCAAAAUUAAUAAAUGGAGGAUGAGUCAUACCAUCUCAUCCAGUCUGUGAACCAAACAAACCCUUAGAAAUUUGUAUAAUUUCUAUUAUUAAGUUUGUUCUUUAUUAAGAAAUUUUAAAUUUAAAACCACCUAUUUAUAAUCUCUUUCACCUUACCAUUCAAUCUAAAUCUCUCCCGUUGCGCGAGUGAUCCAGCUGCAAAAAUCACAGCAUAUAUCUAGCUAGCAAUUUUUUUAUUUUUUUGUUUGGUCGGUCUUUUAAGUUCUUGAUAACAGCUAGAUAGCAAAUAAGAAACCAGAGUGAUCAUGGGCCAAUUGAUUAUUAAUCCAGCCAAUAUGCUCUGCUAGCAUUCAUUCGUUAAAAAGUACUGAUACAACAAAGAGAGAGAGAGAGAGAGAGAAUAAGAAGAGAAGUCAGAGAAGUUUUGCCGCAGAGUAGAAGGAAACCGACAGAGAUGAAGGAAGGAUAGGUGGCAAGAACGUUCAAAACCUCGUGCCAAACACCCAACCCCGCAACUUGUUUCUCAUGCAAAGCCUUUCACUAAAUGUCAUGCAUGCAGCCCAACACGUUGCACUCCCCCACUCAUCCCUCCUGCGCCCUAAAGUCACUCCCCCUUCUCUUUAAAAGCAGCUGCUUACUCGAGCCGCUUCUCCACUCUAUAGUCUGUAAUCCAUCAUCGCCUCUUAUCAUCAUUAAAAAAAACCAAAAAAACAAAAAAAAAAAAGGCUCAACAAUCUUGUCAUUCAGAGCAAUCGAUGGCUGAUCGAGACCGUUCACCGCCACAACAGCUUCAAGUACACCAUCAGCACCUGGGAUAUGGGGAAGGCGGUGUCAAGACCCUCUUUCCUCAGACGGGCCCGUCGGCAAUUCAAGUCCUGGCAGUUGUCACUCUCCUCCCUGUUGGUGGCACCCUCUUUGGUCUCGCUGGUCUCACAUUAGUUGGGACCUUGAUCGGCCUUGCCCUCACCACCCCACUCUUUGUGAUCUGCAGCCCGGUUCUGGUGCCUGCUGUUGUCCUCUUCGGCCUGGCCGUCACUGGCUUCCUCUCGUCUGGAGCCUUCGGUCUCAUGGGGCUCUCAUCUCUUUCUUGGGUUUUGAAUUGCUUCAGGCAGAAGGCUACGGAGCAGAUGGACGAUGCCAGGAGGCGCAUGCAGGAGGCGGCAGGGCAACUGGGCCAGAAGACUAAGGAAGUAGGGGAGAGGAUCCAGACAAAAGCCCAGGAACCUACUGGAAGAGAUCAAGGUGGAAGGGAAGCUGGAAAAUACGUGGAGAAAUUCCAAUAAAGCAAUGAGCCAGUAUGCAGCAUGCAAGUUGGUUCCUGGAAAUAAUGUAGAUGUUUGUAAUUGUACUGUGAUGUUAUUAAUUGUACCGUGUCAAUUCGUAUUUGGUUGUAUUAUUGCCGGCAUCCAUUUCAGAUAUCCAUUUGCGUCGUCAUAAUCUCUUUGUUUGUUGAGGGUUUUCCUUGUAUUGGUAGGAUCCAUAUCUUCAAUUUUAUGGCAUUGUUUUGGUAUCUUUUUUCCUUAGUAUAACAGUGGAUGGUAUUGCGAGGAGUUAUCAUCAAAUAUUGCCGCCCAGAAGACUUCUCAAGACAGAAAUUUGUUAAAUCAUUUUGGUUCAAAAGAAUUCUCAAGACAAUUUGUUUAAUAACACCAGCAGGAACUGCUCGGCACAUGAAUCCGUCCCCUCGAUUAGAGGGGGUUAUCAUUCUUUAGCUCUUUUCAAGAUAGUUAUGUACCAUAUUCUCCGUUGAUUGUGAAACUGAAGAGCCAAUAUAAAAGUGAAGUGCCACUAUAUAGAGCAAGGAUACGCUUUUAAGCUUCUUCUCAAGUUCUCAGGAUGCGGUGAAAGCCCCACAACGUUUGAUCCUAUCCUAACAGCACCCGGACAUCCUUGUACCAAAUAAGAAUGAACUUAGGGCAAAAAUGGUCUUUGAAUUUCAAUGGGUAUAAGAAUGAGUUUAGGGUACAGGCAAAGAUGGUCUUUGAAGUAAAAAUGGUCUUCGAAUUUCCACUGCAAGGUGGGGCUAUUUUGAGAAUGUCCAUCUUUGAAUUUCAGUGAGGCUAUUUCGAGAAUGUGAAUUCAAACGCAAGGGUGGGAUUAUUUUGAAAAUAUGAGAGUGUUUGAAGUGCAAUAGAAGUAUUGAAUAUAUGUCUCAUACAGGUCUAUUUUGAGAAUGUGGGUGGGAUUAUUUUGGAAAUAUGAGAGUGUUUGAAGUGCAAUCGGAGUAUUGAAUACAUGUCUAUUUGAGAAUGUGAAUUCAAACGCUAGAGAAUGUGAAUUCAAACGCACAAUAUACAGGUCUAUUUUGAGAAUGUGAAUUCAAACGCAAGGGUGGGAUUAUUUUGAAAAUAUGAGAGUGUUUGAAGUGUAAUUGAAGUAUUGAAUAUAGGUCAUUAUGACUAGUUUGGUUUUGUUGCAAUUACUUAGGGGGCGUUUGGUAAAAGGGUAUCGGAAUGAAAAAAUGGAAUAAACUCCAUAAUUGGUGUCUAGUUCACUGGUAUGGGAAUUGAAAUUUUCGAAUGAUUUCUAAAAAUUUGGCAUCCCUCCAUUCCUUAGUAAAAUGGUGGGUUUUGUCCAAAACCCAUGUGUGAUUCCAGAAUCUUAUAAUUACAUAAUAUUUAGUAUAAUUAAUAUUUAUAUAUAUUAUAUAUUUAUAUUUAUAUUUAUAUUAUAAUAUAUACAUAUAUAUAAUAUAUUAUAAUUAUAAAUUUUAUUAUAAUUAUAUAUUUAUUAUAAUAUUAGUAUAUUAUAUAAAUAUAUAUUAUAAUUAUUUAGUUAAAUAUAAUUAUAUUUAUAUAAUAUAUUAUAAAUUUAUUAAUAUUAUAUAAUGAUAUAUUUAUAAUAUAUAUGUAUAUUCAUAAAUGUAUAUUAUAUGUGCACAUAAUUAUAAUAAAUACAUGUAUAUAAUUUUAAUAAAAUAUAUAUUUAUAUUUAUAUUUAUUUUUUAAAUAUAAUAAUAACUAUAUCUAAUUAAUAUGCAUUAUAUUUAUAUAAAAUAUUAGUACAAUUAAUAUUUAUAUAUUAUAUAAUUAUAAUUAUAUAUUUAUAUUAUAAAAUUUGUAUAAUUAUAAUUAAUUAUAUAUAUAAUAUUUAAUUUAAUUAGUUACAAACUUAUAAUAAUCAUAUUAUUAUAUUAUUUAUUAUAUAAUUAUAAUUAUUUAGUUAAAUAUAAUUAUACUUGUGUAAUAUAUAUUAUAAAUUUAUUAAUAUUAUAUAAUAAUAUAUUUAUAAUAUAUAUGUAUAUUUAUAAAUGUAUAUUAUAUGUGCAUAUAAUUGUAAUAUAUACAUGUAUGUAAUAUUAAUAAGUUAUAUAAUUGUAAUUAUAAUAAUUAUUUUAAAUAUAAUAAUAACUAUAUUUGAUAUGUAAUAUAUAUUAUAUUUAUAUAAAAUAUUUGUCUAAUUAAUAUUUUUAUAUAUUAUAUAAUUAUAAUUAUAUAUUUAUAUUAUAACAUUUGUAUAUUUAUAUUUAAUUAUAUAUAAUAUUUAAUUUUAUUAGUUACAAACUUAUAAUGAUAAUAUUAUUAGUUAUAUGUAUUAUAUAAUGUAUAUUAAUUUAUGUAAUAUAAUUAAUAUUAUCAAUUAUACUAAUAAUUAUACAUGUUUACUAAUAGAAAUUAUUAAUCAGUUAGACUAAAUUUACUAAUACAUUUAUACUAAUAUAUUUAAUUAGUGAAAAUUUUUUAUAUCCCAUUUACAAAGAGCUAAUAACUAUCAUUUACGAUGUGGUUUAUAAUAUAUUUAUUAUAUUCCAUUCCGAAAGAGUCGACGAACCAAACAUCAAUUAUAGUAAUGAUACACAUUCCAGGUACUUGAACCAAACAAAUGUAUUGAAAUGAAUGACCUCAUUUCAAACUCAAGAUAUCCGAUUCCGAAUCCGAAUCUAAUUCCGAUGUGUGAACCAAACGCCACCUAAGAUGUUCUUUCAAACAUUUAAAACUAUGGGCAAGUUUGAUAGGUGACAUUGUUGGAUAUCCGAUUGACCAUUCGGCACAACUGAAUUAUAUCUGAUUGACAUUAAUGGCUAAUUCAGCAUGUGUUUUAGUGGAGUUACGUAAAUUUUUCUCAUCGUUAUUUGCAAACUUAUGAUAUAUAGAUAUUAAAACACAAUUAAUACUAAUUAGUAGAGACUGUUAUCAUAGUAAGCCCAUAUGUUCAAAUUCAUUUCAUUUAUUUAUAGCUUUGUUAAACCAAAACCAUGCAACUUAUUGAAUUCGGAUGUUACUACAUUAGCUACUUCCCCAUUUUGCAACACCCUUUUGCAAUAGGUAUGUUUUCUUUAACAAAUCUACUUUUUUGUUGUAAGAAAUCUCAAUAGAAAUUUGUAAGAAAUUUGUAAUCCUACAGGUUGUAUGUGCGAUAAUUUUUUAAUAUUUUUAAUUCAAUUGUUCAUGUCAGUCAUGCUUGAUAGAGAGGAGAUCACAUUUAUUAAUUGUUAUUUGUGGUUUAAAAUAAAUUUAUCAUCAUAAAUUUUUCCAUUUACAGAUUGCAUCUACUUCUUUUGUUGUUUUAAAUUUCAUUUAGGCAAAUUUUUUACUUCAUUUGAUUUACCAAUAAAUUAAAUUAUCUAUUUAAAAUAUUUAGCUACAAAUCUAAAUUACGUACUUCAAUAAUUUUAAUUAUUUUCUUGAAUUGAGUGGAUUAAGAUGCUUUAGUACUUUUUUUGAGAUAAUUUUUCCUCUAAAUUAGCAUGUUAGUUGUUAUAUAUCUUUCCUCUAAUUAUGUUUCAUUGUAUAUUAUAUUUUUUAACUCAGCAUGUAACUUAUGAUUUUUCUAUUUAAUAUUAUUAUAUAAUAAAAUUGUCAUACUUCGAUUCUUAUACUACAAAAUACUAAAUAAUAAUUAUUAACCAUAUUUAAUUACAGGCACUAAACUUCCUCAUGUAACACGGGCUUUUCCCCCUAGUAAAGUACAUAAGAUCACCCAGCCGUCUAUUCUCCCUUUUCAAGAAGAAAAGCAUGAAACAAAAGAAUAUUUAAAAAAUUUAAAUGACUAAAAAUACAGGUUCGUUAUGUAGUUUGCUCCGGUUUUCCUGCUUCGGCAUGCGUAUUUCCAGGCUCAGUAGUUGGCUUUGCGGGAUUAGGAAUCCAAAAGGUAAGAACCGAAGAUGCAGCAGCAAACAUGACCCUACGAGGAGCCCACUUCAAGCAUGAGGCAACGCCUAUGUCAUUAUCCCAGCAGGCAACCUGCAGCAUAAGAAGUGCAAUUCAAUUGUAGCACAAGUUAGAAAGGAAAAUGAUAUUAGCACUUCUCAAAAAAUCUCAAACACUCCUUCCCUUUCUUUGCAUUAGAUCAAAAAUGAGAAACCUCAAACACUCCUUCCUUUCUUUGCAUUAGAUCAAAAAUGAAAAAUUUCAUACACCCCUUCCCUUUCCCUUUCCCUUUUUAGCAUUAGAACAAGUUUAAGGAGCGCCUGAGAUUUUUUUUGAAAAGUGUUAAUAUCAUUUCCCAUCCUUUUACAUUAGAUCAAGUUUAAGAAGUGUGUGAAAUUUUUUAAAGAGUGUUAAUACCAUUUCCCUUCCUUUCUUUUACAUUAGACCAAGUUUAAGGAGUGCCUGAAAUUUUUUUUUGAAGAGUGUUAAUAUCAUUUUCCGUUAGCAAACUCGUUUCUUUUCCACUACAAGUAUUUUAUCAACUCCCUAGCUUACCACAUAGCCAAGAAGCCGGCUUUCUCUCCUGAUAGUUCUUAUAUUUCCCAAUUUAUAGGCCAAAAUAGUUAAAUGCAUCUCAUAGCUUUCUGUUACCACAAAUGAAACUCUGACUUCAUCAUAAAUUUACACGAGAUCAGAAUUUGCUUGUGUGCUUUACAAUCGUUGUUGCUCAUUUACAAUAGACUCGAUCUGGAGCUUCAAUUUUGUAAAACAUAGACAUAUAUCCCGGGAGAUAUUGGAAGUCAAGCAGCCUUAACCGGCCACAAAGAAAUCAACCCGACUAAGGCUCUAUUUAAUAAUCCCAUUUAGACUUAAUGAAUUCAGAUCUUAACAUGAUCAAACUCAUUUGAUAACAAAAAAUUGAAUAUCUGAAUUAAUUAAGUGACAUUGAAUUUCCUAUGCAAAAUUAGCUUCCAAAAAUAAGUGAUAAGCUAUUCAGUUAUCAUUGAAUGUGAUAUACAUUUAAAUGUAAUAGAUUUAAUAUUUAACAAUUUAAUAACUUAAAUUUCAUAUUUCAAAUUUAAAAAUGGAUUUAAUAAGUGAUUUCAGAUUUAAUAAGCUAUUCACUUAUUUCAGAUUUAAUAAGUGAUUUCAAUUUAACUCAGUUUUCAGACUUCAGUUUUACCAAACACACCCUAACUCGUGAAAAAACAAGAUGUACGUGUCAAAAUUUGUUCAGCGGAUAUGCUUUCAUGACAAGGGAUGAGAAUGUCAUUCUUGCUCAUUUACUGUAACUCUAACAAGAUACAUGAAUCAAAGCUCAGCAGAUUUGGGGGUGUCUGCUCGAGUAUAUACGAGGAAGAGAGGAAUCACCAUACCUUAUUUCUUGUUCUUAUGCUCCAAGCAUGGAGAGUUCCAUCUCCAGAACCUUUAACAGAGUAGUGAUAUCAGUUCUAGUGUUUAAAAAAAAAAGUAGUGGAUCACCAAAGAAAAAAAAAACUAGGGAUAUCACUAGUGUUAAAUAGUGGAUCACCACCAAAAAAAAAAAAAAAAUCAAUAAGCUAUUAAUCAUGCGAGGUAUGACUAAGAACUCUUAUCAAACCAACUACAAAAGGUAGCAAUAAAUGAUGCACAAAAAUGAUACAUAAAACAGUUUCAGAAUCUUUGCGCAAGGAUGCGUUAGAAUUAAUUUAACUGGCAACAGCCAGCUAAAUUGUCACAUGGCCACAUAGCUACUACUAAACCCCAGCAUAAUGUUGGAAUAGUUAAAAAAGUUGUUCCCAUUACAAGAUUAUAGAACAUAAACAGCAAUGUUUGGCAUCUUUAACCACUUCAGAUGAACUGAAGACACUUCACUGAAGAUGUACAGUUCACAAAGUUGCAAACCACUUCCCAUUGACGAGUGUGAUACUCCUGUUUGAAGUGUAUUCACUUAUUUGAAGAGAAAAACAGUAUUUCUAAUUGUUCAGGCACAACAUCCUGAUAAACAGAAAACCAGUCUAUCAUCCCAGUUACAACCACUAGACUGGCUCAGAUGAAACGUCUAACAUCACUGAAGUAGUUAUAUUCCUUCUCUUUUGUUAAGAAGAUGUGUUAAGGAAGAACUUGUCAAUUGCACGAACCACUCAGGAAGACGCUAAAUCAAUCACAACCAAAAUAAGAUUAAGCUUAACAUUUGAAAUCUUGUAUCAGAUGAAAAAUAAUAGAGCAGAAGGAGCAUCAUAGAAGGAAACAACAUGAAGAAUUGAAAAGUAUUAUAUUUCCUUAAGCAAACAGAAUACGACCAAAUAUCUGUACCUGAAACCAAAUAUUGGCCAUCUGGUGUAAAUGUAGCCUCUAUAGCUGUAUUGGGGGAAGGAUCCAGACUAAACCCACAACGCUGAAGUAGGAAAAAGCGUGAUGUUUCAGUUGAGGACAAAGAAAAGGUGAAAACCUCAUACCAGUACCCCAGGAAACAAGGAAAGCAAGAAAAUCCAAAAGUGAUGCAUACAAUACUAUUAAAAAAUAGAGAAAGAAAAGCAAGAAAUCUGACCUUCUCGCCUCCAUAUGCGUCAAGAACAUAUAUGUUGUUACUUUUAGUAGCCAACAGCAUUGAUUUACCAUCAUUACUGAACUUAAUAUCACAGACUUCAGCUGUAUCUCCACCAACAAGGAAAGUAUCAAAUGGUCCCUGCAUUUUUCACAGGAUAAUUGAUUUCACAAGAUCAUGCGUACAAAAGAAAGUGAAUGCUUGUUUUUCCUUUAUAUAACUAAGGAAGACAACAUUUUGAACACACAACCUUGUCGUAUGAUCUAGAAUCAAACAAUUUGAUUGCACCCCCUUCCAUUGAUACUGCAAAGACAAGACCUUGUUGAUCAUAUGCAACAGUUGGCCUACCACGUAGACGUAAUAUUCCCUGAAAGCUACAAGAGUGAGCUCUUAUCCCAGUCAUGUUUUUAUCUGGAAGCAGCAAAGAAAACAUGAUGGUAAUUUUAAAAUGGCUCAGGCACUCGCCAGGGCCAGGGCCUACACAUUUAGAGGAAUAUAUUCUAUUCAUGUAGCUUGUUUAUGCAUUUCAGUUUUAAUAGAAAAUGCUCAAUUCCAAUGCUUAUUUUCAGAUAAGGCUCAAAGAAAUUUUUUUUGUCUUAAUUAGAGAAAUUUAAGGAUACAAAGAACAGAAAAUGAACUUAAAGGUUGAGAAGCGCUCAUAAUCACAAGGAAAAUAGGGAUAAAAAUUUACCCAGACUAACCUGGCAUGCAUUUACUCGGAGAUCCCAUAUACGGACAGUGUGAUCAAGAGAACCAGACAUAAAGCUGUCAUUAAUAGGAGACAUGCACAGUGACACAACCCUGUUGCCAAGUCCAAGCAAAAGAUUGACACAAAAAUUAACACUAUAGUUACUGGAGUUGAAUCCAGAAGAAGUCAAAAAAGGAAGUAAGUGAACGUAAAUUAUAAACUUCACUGAAAAAGUUGAAGAACAUAAAAGAACUUUAAAAGUAAUGAAGAUUUUAGACUUUCAACAUAUUUUGCCAUACAGCAUACACAUCCAAAGUAGCAAACAAUAAUUCGAUGAUACACAAAGUACUUGCAAAGAAAAGUAACAAGUUAACAUAGAAUGCAUAUUUACAAUCUAUCUAACAAUUACCUCGCCAAACGUAAGCUAGAUCACCAAUCAUUGAGGUUAGACUAUAAUUGUUUCAUUAUAUCUGCUUUCAAAAGUUACUAGCUCUGUCCCAUCCUAUUAGUCAUGAUUUUGAUUUUUGAGUACCAAAUCAUUCCUCCUGGUCUGGAAAGGAAUUUUUUUUUAAAAAAAAGACCAACAUCUCUAUAUUACAUAUGAUACAAACUCUAAAAAUAAGCAUUAAAGUAGGGCCCUUUUAGGGUUGUAGUAAUUUUGCAAAAAAAAAAGUGCUUUUGGAGGAUAAAAGCACCUUUAAUGUGAUUGGCGAGCACUAUUCCUUGAAUUUUGAAGUAAAGCUUUUGGAUAAUAAAGCACUUUUAGCACAAACUCAAAUUUGGUGCUUGUACGGCAACUUUUUUUCCAAAAAGUAGUAAUUAAUUUUAACAAUUUUAUUAUAAAUUUUGAAUUAAAUGAAGAGAUAAAUAUGUUUUGGAAAUUUGAAAUUGCACAUUAUGAAGUGCAAAAGUACUUAUUCAAGUAUGCACCCAAACAAAAUGAUUAAGCACUUAAUAAGUACUUUGACUAAAAGCUCUACUGCAACUCCAAAUGAUCCAUUUAUGUAUCAAAUUAAAUGCUAUACAAAACCAUUUCAACAUUUAAAAAUUCAAAAGCACCAACAAAGUUUGAGUUCAAACGUCUUCUCAAUCCAUAUGCAGAUUUAGCAUGACAAAUAGAACAGGACCAAGGGGUACAAUCAUUAUUUCCACUAUGGGUACAUUAAGAAUGGUAAAGUAAAUACUAGGGAAAAAGUACUACCUAUUCCUUUUUCCUAGGGAUAAAAUGUAGUAUACAUCUAUACCGUGGUCAUGUUAACAAACAUAUUUUCAAAUCAAAUGUCGCAUGCAUAAAUGGGAUGUUACACUAUCAUGUUUACAGUGGGAAGCUGCAUAGCCAUACCUUUUCUCAUGUCCCUUAAAGUACCGAAGGCAGCGAUUGUCAUACAUGGAUAGGUAGCGCAGAGAUUCUGGUAACAAGUUAGUCAAAGAUAUGUUCCAUACAACUACGUCUGAUACAUCUCUGGAAGCAGAACAAAAUAAAAUUACCUCUGGAAUCCAAGUUGUAUCUUGAUGAACAUAUAACAGAGCUUGAGUGAUGGGUGAAGCAUAUCCUCUCAGCACCGUGUUUCUUAUGGUAGGUGGUCUUCAACAACCUAAAAGUUCAACACAAAACCAUCAGAGUAGGAACUCCUUCCUGUCUGCUAAGGACUGCAUAAAAAACUUUUUCAUACCUGUAAGGCAAGAAGUAAAUGAACUAUAGUAGCAGUAAAGAUAACUAAUCAUUCAGGUAAAAUCUUGGUUUUGCGUAAUUCAGAGUGAAUAUUCUAUGUUAAUACUCCAAAUUUUGAAAAAACCAGGAAAAGUUGCACGGCUUGUUUUUUAAAGAGAGACUUACUUGCCAUUGGCAAUGUCAUACAGUCUGACCGAAUCAUCCUCGCUCGCUGUAACCAAUAAAUCACUUGUCCGAUGAAAAUCAAGUGAACUUAUUUUUCCACCCUAAAAAAUAUGCACGUGGUAAACAUCUCAAGUCAAAUCAUCCAGCAACUUCUCAGCUUCAUAAGCGCAAGAGAUUUAUUUAUGGACUGUCUUCUAAUCAAGCAUAUCCAAUAAUUAGAAGCGGCAUGGGAAUUGAAAACGUUAUAUCCUGAAGCACUACUAUGUACUGUACCGAAUCAAACAUACACACAAAAAGGGAGAGAGGAUUAUGCUUACAAAAUCCGAGAAUACGGCUGCAACUGCCAUACUGCGAACAGUGUCGUCGUUGAGUUCUGGGAGUGACGUCAUCCUGAUUCCGACGACAGACGGAGAGACGAGGGGUUGGGGGGAAGGGGGAAAGGAAUAGCUGGCAUAUGAAGUCGCGCAGUUUGAAGUACUAAUAUACGCAUUUUUUCCGUUAAAGUAGGGUUUAUAUAUAUAUAUAUAUAUAGUUAAAUUUAAGUCCGUUUGGUUUGUGGGAUAACGUAAUAUUGCAUUAAUUAUCAUGUAUCAUCUCGAGAGAUGGUAUUAGUUAUCUCGAAAUAACUAAGAAAUAAGAUGAUGAAAUAUAACAUAAUAUGAAUUUUAAACUAAUUUAUCAUUAUAAAUAAUAUAAAUUUACACUCUCAUAAUUAUGUAACCUUAUUCUCGAUAAUAUAACAUAAAUGGACCAAUUUGCACUUAAUGCUGACAUUACAAUAUUUGAAUUAAUUUGCCUUGCAAGUGACACAAAUGCAUAUUGAAUAUUAUACAACCAUACUCUCACAUAAUAAUAAAAGGACUAAAUUGCUCUUAUUAGACAAAUUCUACAUAAAUACAAAAUCUUAUAAAUUGGAUUUCACAAUUGAGGGUUUCAACAAGUUCAAGAUUGCUCAAAGAAAUAUUUUCUAUAUUGGUUUAAGUUUGGUUCAUUUAGGAUUGUAAUUGAGUGGUAAACAUAAAAAUAAAAAUAAUUUUAAAAUAAUAAAAAUAUUGAAUUUUCUUAUUUGUAUUUUUUUAAAAAUAAUCAAGCUUUCCCUUUCUGUCUCUCUCUUUCCCUCGUCUUUCUAAUUUUUUUCAAUAUUAAUAAGAUUACAAAGAAAAAAGAAAUUAAUAUUUUUUUUAAUUUUCCUUGAUACUAAAAUGAGAAUAACCUCUCUAAAUUUUUUAUUAUUUUUAUUGUACAAAGAGGAAUGCACUUUCUUCUAAACAAUGUUAAGUUGGUUUAAUAGUGGAAUAAAUUGUCUAAAAAUUAAUUUUUAACUUGCUAAGUUGGUUUAAUUGCGAAUAAGUUGUUUAAAAAUUAACUCUAAGAGAACUAAUAAUAAGAACAUAGUUUACGAUGAUAAAGUGAUAAUAAAUUUAAGAGCUAGACACGUUUUUUCACUUGAAUUAACAAAUAUCAUUAAGUUUGAUCGUUAAUCUUGAAUGUAAAGUAAUUAAAAAAUAAUAUUAAAAAGGAAAUCGAUAUUAACGUCAAACAUAGAGUUAUAACAAUCAUUCAAACAAUUACCUGUUGAUUAUGGAUGGAGUAAAUCAAGACAAUUUUCCCAUUGUUAUUAAACGCAUGUGAGGAAUUUCAAAAAGUGAUACUUAUAUUUAAACUGUGCAGUGAAUCUGUUUUUUUAUAUAUUGUAUAGAUAUUUAUCCUAAGUCCUCCUACCAACUUCAACAAAGAAAUAGAAAAUUUCACUAUUCUGUAAUUAAUUCCUUUGUUGUAAUUGAUUUGUUAAUACGUAUUCUUUAUUUUCAUUUUUUCUUAAAAUAUGUGUACAAAUAGAGCGUGCCUUAUCCAUUAGCAUUUGGAUUGCUAAAUUAUGCAAAAUAAUAUUUCACUUGUAUCAUAAACACAUUUUCAAUCAAAUUUUUUUUAUUUUACAUAUAUUACAUCACAAAAAGUACUAUAGUAAUUAUUUCAAAUAAUACUCUAUCAAAACAUACAAUUUUUACAUCAACGUAAAAAUAAUAAUAGUAGUAAGAGGCCUAAAAUAAAUGUAAAAUAAUAACAUCACUGGAUAGUGGAAUUCCUUCCAAAUAAAGGGUAUUUUUGGCAAAUAAUAACAUUCAGAAAAGCGGUGCUGCUUCUUACGAGAUCACGUAAACGUGGCUUUCUGCGUACGAGGAGACCGACAACGAUGUCGGGUCGAGCGUUAUACCUCCGCAUCCCUUGCUUCUAACCUCCAGUUUUCUUCACCUUCCUCGUCGGUAAGCCCCAGUCUAGGCGUCCUCCCACUCCGCUCUCCACUCUCACUCUGGAUGUUCUUUGUUUCUUUACUUCCUCUCGGCAGUAGUCCAUAGCAAUAAUGGACGCCUAUAAUCCUCUACUGGAGAGAACACGUGUCCCCCAACCUUGCUUACAAAAAUUUGCAGUAAUCUCAAUCUUUGAGAAGCUCCGAAACGCUCCUCCUCACCUAGACCCGGAUUCCGACCCGGGAAGAGAAGCCAUUACUUACUGCCUCCACUCCACCUUCGCCGGCGUAGUUGACCAAUCGGUCCGGGAAGUAUGCCGCCUCGUGAAAGACUCUAAAAUGGACCUCUCCCGCGGAUUGUUGGAGCUUCAGUCCGGCCUUGAAGCAUCCGGUCCUCGUUUCGUUAAUCUCUUCGUUAAAGCCCUAGGAUUUCUCGUUAGUUGUGGGUUUCAGAAAAAUCCUUCUUCAUUUCGGUUUCAAUCACCCGAAACCCAUCCGUUCGUCAAGGUAACAAUGACUUUGCAGUAACUGAGUUUUUUAUUUUAUCAGAUAAUUUGAUUUUUUAUGUUUUAGCUUCUGGUUGCAGAUUCUUUCUUGUCGAGUUGAAGUUCAAUGUGAGCUCGUGCAACAAGUUGGUAAUUUCAUGGUGAAAAAUAAGCAUUUGGGGAUUACUAAAGUUUGUGAUUUCUUGAGGCCUUUGUUAAAUUACUCAUUUAUUCAAGUACCGGUUGUGGCUUCUUUCCGUUGUUUUGCAACGAGCUUAGUGUCGUCCAUCACAUCUCUCAGUUGUUCCUUCCCUCCGAGGCCAUUCCGGUUAUUAAGCUGUUGAUGGGAUGUCUCAGAUUUUUUCCACGUCGAGAUGCACAAGUAAAUGAAUUUGUUUCAAGUUUCUGUAUUGACUAAUUUUUUUUCUUGACACAAUGAACGAAGUAUUUUUAUCUAACUUCAUUCUCAGCUAAUUUCUCUCGUUUAAUCUGCAGGACCUUGCUGUCCUUCUCCAGCUUCUUGAAUGCACCGUGGAUGCCUAUGUGGUUGUUCUGAGGCAGCUGGUGGGAAUGAGAUUGGUACUCUAUUAAUAUUCUAACUGUCUUAUUAAACAGAUUCUUAUUGCAUCUAGUUGUAUUUUAUCACUCGGCACAAGCGCCCUGUGGGUGGCUUCUAUUUGAUUAGUCAUUUUGGUUCUGACUGAUUUGAUUGAUUUUAGCUGGUACACGAAGUUCAAUUAUGUGGUCUGGAACUGGUUGAGGCCAUCUUUUCACUGCAUAAAGAUCUUCGCAUGCACUUACAUGGAGUUGAGAACAUCUCGGAAAUGUCAAGGCAUUUGUUGGCUGUCCAGAAAGACUUAGGCUUGAGUUAUUUGCCUGAUUUUUCAUCAGUAAUAUUAUCCUUAAUUAUACCUCUCAUUCAGUCUGAGCUGGAGCAAGAACAUAUUGCUAUACUGAAGCUGCUGCUCUUUCUCUUAGAGUGGAAACUGGAAAAUGGUAUGCUUGUUAAUUAUGCCUUGAUUAUCUUAGUAGGUCUCAUCAUAUCUUUCUCACGAUCAUCUUAAGAAUUAGUUUUCUUUAGCUAUAAAUCUCCUAUGGAUACACACGUUCUUAUGUUCUAGCUUGAAUGAAUGUAAUUGUCUUAGAAUUUAGUAGUCUUUGCAUUGAAGUAUUUAUUUUCUCUUUUUUGUCUUCCCUUAGAGGUCUAGAAAAAUUAAGAGAAUCUGACAAUCUGUAAUCUAGUUAUAUAUAUGUAUGUAUGUAUGUAUAUGAUGUGUGUGUGUAUAUAUAUUUCAUUUUUUCAUCUUGGCAAUUGAUAUUAGUAAAUCUUUUGGUAGUCUACCUCGUUAUUAUUGAACUUUUUCCAUUUAGGUGCACUAGGGUUCUUCCCUACAGCUUUUCCUUUGUGGUUGCAUUCAAUGAAUAUAUUUCAUUUGUAUGCAAGUCCAUCUGAGAAAUCUAUUAAUUACUUCCCCCUCUUACAUCUACGUGUCUGUGCCUUAAUAGUUUACGGCCAUGUUGUUACUGUUUUGGAGUUUUGUUCUGGAAACCUACAAUUAAGAAAUUAUGUGGCUACAUACAAAUAAAAUAUAGAAAAAUUUAACAAGACUCGAGCUUGUGAUAGUUAUCUAUAUUCCUUUGUGCUGAUUUUGUUAUUGCCUGAGCAUAUUCUCUUCAACUACUUUCUAAUUGCGUUUCUGCAUUUUUUUGUUUCUCAGCUUUACUCAGAUAAUGAAGUACAUGAUCUAUUUAAUUUGCAGUGUACAAUGUCACUAGAGCUGCAAGCAACUAAACGAGGAGCUUUUGUUCAUUUUUCCAGUCAUUAACAUCAUGUCAUCACCAAGUAUAGUUGUUAAGAAAGUAGCAGUUGCUGUAAUUUCUUCUUUGGAGAAUAUCUUCAUAGAUUUGUUGGCUUCAACAAGGAGUGGCAGGGCAACUGAGAGGAAAUUUCCCUCUAUUAGCACACCUGGAUGCAUUAUUUAUAGGUUUCUCCAUCAUUUAUGGUUUCAGGUUUGUUUCUAUGGUAUUUCUGUGAAGCCAUCAUUAUUUCAUCUCUUUGACCUCAUUAGUUUAUUUUUUGUAUAACCAAACCCUUUCAAAUGAAUGCAUAGAAAAGUGGGCAAGGGAGAGUCGAGAGAACUAUUUUCUUAUUUCUAGUGCAAUAUCUGCUUUGCUUCUGUUCCUUUGGCUACUUUAUCAUUUGAUUAGAAUUAUAUUGUGUUUGACUCAACACGGUUCCUGCAUGAGAUCAUGCUCUGUUUGUUAAAAUCUGAGUUUAGCUGUUUCAAUUUGUUUACCUGAAUUCGUCAUCAAGUCAUUGUUUUGCCUGCAUUCUUCCAGUAGUAGUUGUUGGUGAAGUUUAUGCUAAGCUAUGGUGGAACAUUAGGCAUUUGUGUAUGCAAUCUAGUUGCGUACCUUUUAAAUGAUGUAACUUGUCGCUAAUUGACCUGUCCUUUCAGGAUCCAUCUUCAUUAUCUUGUGCUUUUUAUCUCAAAGUUUCUUCUACUGAAUCCUAUAUUGACGAGGGAAAUGAUACACCCAAAUCUUGCACCUCUUUGCUGGGACUAUUCUUUGCAAAUCGGGAAAAAAAGAAGUCCAUUCAACCUCUUUCUAUGUUUCAGCAGAUAUUUAUUUCAGGUAGCUACUUGUUUUUCAUUCAUACAAGUUUUUCAUCUUGCACAUGAUUUCAUGUCUAAACCUGCUAAAAUUUUUUGUGCUGACAGAUACUUCCUUCUUCCUUGGUGCUAUUGCUAGUGUACUUCUUAUGCAUCAGAAAUUGGGGAACUGUUCAGUUGAUCUCUUGGCUGUUACUGGCAAUAUGAAUCCUGAGCUUGGAGUGUCACUGAUGCUAGUCAUUCUGUUUUGCAUUCAUGCAUUUUCUACCAAAGAUAAGGAUAUUGAUUUCCACAGCAUGUUGGUGAGUUUCGAUUGACUUUCACAGCACAUAAUCAUGCCUUCUGAUGCUUCCUCAUACUUCCCUGUGAGAUGAGUGGUUUAUUAUGUUCUGUAAGGGUUCAUGUUUUUUUUAUUGUGUUUUUAGUUUCUGGUAAUCUAAUAAAAUCUUCUAAAUUAAAACUGCAGCUGAAACUACUUGCCAAGCUUCCUUCACUUGCUUCACAUUCCGCAAUGCUACCGCUGAUAGUUCAGACUGUAACACCAAUGCUUCAUAAGGAUGCAAAACCGUAUGCUCAUAUGUGUUCUUUUGUGUUUCUCAAUCAUGCACUAUCCGUGCUGGACAUUAUAUCUGGGGAAUUGCAGUGUUGAUUGCCAUUCUUUAUACUCUUACUUUGGAACUUACAGAGAAAGCCACCUGAUGUUUCAGUUACAUAAUGUGAAAGUAUUUGUCAGUUGGACUUAUUUUAUGUACUCUUUACCCUCUGUACCUGUUAUUUGGUGCAUUAUUCUUCUGAUAUGUGGGUAUUAAUCAGAUCUGCUUGUUUUCUUAGCAUUUUUAUUAUUCAUAAGAUCUGCUUAUUUUGUAGGUUUUAUAUGCUACUGCUACUCGGUUGAUAUGUAAGACCUGGGAGAUUAAUGACCGUGUCUUUGGGAAUCUACAGGUAAUUAUUUCAGUUGUCCUAUCUGUCACCUGGCAUCAUUGUUUCUAAAUUUGAAGUAUUUACUUAAUUUUUGAAGAAAUGCAAAGCACUGUCCACCAUCUAUGUCUUGUUUAUAACAAUUAUUGUCAAGCUUUUGCGCAUAAAUCGUGAUCAUUAUACCUAUGAUUUGGCUUCCUCAUUUGUUUAGAAAAAAUUAAUUUUGAUUCCACCAUUGCAGUGAAGAAUAUACUAAAAAGCUGUGUAAGUUGAGGAAAAUAUCAUAACUCAGCUGCUCGUAAGGUUUAAAUCUCACCCACAUACUCGCAAGGAGUCUUAACUAUAAGCUUCUAAAUUAGAAGUCUUUGAAGUUGCAGCUUGUCUUUCAUUCUUGGUAAAACCAUUGUCAUCCUGCUCUUCUGACAUUUUUUAUUCUUCUCUCUGUUUCUCUUUGGUGAAGAUAGAUUAUGAUGCAUUCAGUAAAAGUUGCAUCAGGACAAUUACUAUUAAUAAGCCUGAAUUUUUGCUCCAAACUGGACAUAGGAUUACACUGAGAAAGAUGGACACCAUUCAGAUGUAGCGUAUCUUGUGAGCUAGGAGGUACGGCAUAAUGGGAGAAGUUAUAUAUAGAUGGAGCCAAUCUUUUAGUAAGGUGCAAUUCCAAGUAUUGACUGGUCUGUAUAGAUGGCUAUGCUCUGUAUUUUGAUUAUGUUUCUGGUUUAUGGGAUGUUUUAGAUUCCAGUUCACAUGUUUUGAUUCUUGACCACUGCACUUGUGGUGAAAUGUUGUUAUCUAUUACUAAGAAACAAAAAGAGAAACAAUGGAAAUGAUACUUGCAAACUCCUGGGAACUUUAAUUUUCAGAUCCCUAUUCCAUUUGUGGUGCAUUUUGGGUUUAGUGUCUGGUUUUACCUCCAUUUGGACAUAUUUAAUAUGUCUUCUUGUUUUCUGUCUUUUUGGCAUAGGGAGUGCUAGGACCACAAAAAUUUGUUGAAAUGGCAACAAAGAAAGACGUCUGUAUUAGUAUGGCUGCUUCUGUGCGAGAUGUUUGCAGAAAAGAUCCUGAUAGGGGUGUGGACCUCAUUUUGUCUGUGGAGGUACAUAUGCUGGCCCUCUUUGCUGUCCUUUGUCAAGCAUGUUUCUCCAAUCUCUUUAAUGUCUGUGUUUUGAUCAACAGGCUUGCAUUGAAAAUGAAGAUCCUCUUGUUCAGUCUCUUGGAUUCCAGAGUCUUGCACAUCUUUGUGAAGCGGAUGUCAUUGGUAAUAUUAUGCUCUUGUGAUUCUUUUGUGAGUGGAAAAUAUGAGUAGCUCUACCAGUUAUAUCCUAUCUAUUGCCUUGACUACUUAGAAGUGUGAAUAAGAUUUCUUCAUCAUUUAUUCUUUCGCCAUAACGAUGAUUUGUGAGACAUAGAAUGAGUUACGCGAAUAUAAUUUUGGCUAUCUGCUGAGCUGAUGCUUUGAGUCAGAUGUUUAUUGAAAAUCCCUUCUUAAAUGUUAUGUUCUGUUUGAUUCUUGUUGUUGCUCCAAACAAUGUCUCGAUUUGGAUAUUGCUCUUGAAUAAAGAUAUCUGUCCCAUGUAACUAUUUGUCAAAUUUUUUCUAUCAGGAUUUGGGACUGAGAACUUCCCAAUCUAAACCAUUUUGCUUUGGUGAUCAUCUGUUCUUCCCCUCAUGGAAUUAUGUGAUUUUAUUGGAUUUGCUUAAAUAUUAUCAUAGGCAUUUCGCUUCUAUUUGAGGUAGUUGUGUCAGAUGUUUCUUCUCAACCUUGAUUUCUUCUGAAAGGCCCAGCAAUGAGCAAUUCCUUUACUCCUUGCGAGUUGAUAUACAAGUAGAGGGUUGGUUCAGCAAUUUUAAAUAUGUGAUUAUUAAGGUCAAGUGGAAGAACUAUUGCCCUGUAAUGUUGGUAUGCACCUUUAAGAACAUUGACGGUUGCUGACUUUGUGCAUAUACUUGGUCUAGAUUUUUAUACUGCUUGGGAUGUGAUUGCAAAGCAUGUCUUGAGGUACACAUCAAAUGCUGCUGUCGUUGCUUAUAGGUGAGCAGAAGCCCCACAAGUGUCCCUUAUCCUGUAAUAACUUGCUGUUCGAAUGUUUUCCUACAUGUAGCUAUGACAUUGGGUAAAAGAUUUGUCUUUGAGUUUUGCAAAGCACAGAUGCCAAAGGUAGAGAAUUACGUGUGAAAUACUGCUUGUGCUUAGAAAUGUACUCCUUUUAUUAUUUAUGGUCUACAUUUGUAGAAAUUUUCUUUUCCUUAUGCUCUAUUCAAUUGUUAUUGCGUACUUGUCUUGUUCAUUAUAUUCUUGAAUCAAGUGGGUAUUUUGUAAAGCAAGAUGAUUUUUCUUCCUGAAUGCCUUCCAGAUACAUGUGGUAUGACCUCAUGGGAUAACUACCAAGUUUUGUUCCAUCCCCUUCAUUCUCACUCUCCUUCAGAGUCUCUUAACGUCCCCUGGUCAACUCCCUCCAGGAGUUUUUUCUGUUUGAUCCCUCCCACCUCCCACCUCUCUCCUCUUUCCUCAAUUUACUUUGUUUCUUUUCUCCAUUUGAGCAACAACUCUUUUUCAACCCUUCACCCUUCCAUCUGUGUUUUUUCUCUUUUAUCAAGUUUGGGGAUAAAAUACAAUUAGAUUGUUCAAUAUAUCUUAAACAAAAUAUUAUGGUUCACGGAAUUUUUUUCUUUGUUUUAAUUUUUGUUGAGUGAAACUAAAAGCAACUUAAAAUGCUGUGUGAGGUUGGUUUGAUUGUGAUUGGAGACUGAAAAUGGUUGCUGGGCUAGUGGCAGGAGGGUGGAUUUGAGAUGUGAGAGAUGGGCUGUAGUAGCCCUCUCUCUCUCUCUCUCUCUCUCUGAAGUGUUUUACUUCCCUGGAGUAUUAUGUGACGUGUCUUUCUUAUUUUCUUUUUUUUCUUGGCAAAUUGCUAUGCUGUUUAUCAUGACUGGGGGUGUGGUGGUGGUGGUAGUUGUGGCGAUGUGCUGGCAAAGAGGAUGUGGGUUACAGGGGUGUGUUAGAAAGGAAAGCUACAGCCGUGAGCAGGAAUGGCAGAGGGAAAGCAAGAGAAUAAGAGGUCGGUGGUGGGGUAGGUGGAGAGAAUAAACAAAGAAAGGGAAAAAAAAGUCAGAAUGAAACAGAAUUUCUCUGGCCUCCAUCUCAUUUCCAAAUGGAUCUGGUGCAAAAUCUUUGGAUAGAAAAACAUUGCUGUUUUGAAAAUGCUUGAUUCUUUACAUGGCUUACAAAUUUUUGCAUUCUUUUCUUCUUGCCAGUCUAUGCCUUCUUUUGAGAUGGGGCAAUGGAUGCUGAAGCAUACCCUGAACCUGCUUCAGAGAUUUUAAAAAUUUUGUGGGUAGUUGGAACCUCCAGAAAUCAUGGUCAGGGUUCUUUGUGGGCAACAGCUCGAGCAACUGCAUUUAUAGCACUAACACAUUAUGAGGUUGAUUCUAUGACUGUCUGGAUACAUCUUAGUCGUCUUUUUUUAUUAAACUGAUAUUUCAAAAAAGUGUUCUACCAAAAGUACAAAUGUAGUUCGUACAAGCUUGGACAUUGUCUGAAUAUGGCAUUUUCCCUCAGGUGGUGCAUAUUUUUAGAAGCAUUCCAGAUUUUAGGGAUGUGAACCUGGAGUUUCUUUUUUCGAGACUGAUCCUGAAGUAUUAAGAGCUGUAGAAGGAUUUGAAUCUAGAAUUAUCAAUCACGAGUACAUGUAAAGAAACAUGUCCACUAUCAUCAUUGCACGUUCUCUGUAAAAGUUUGUGAAGCGCUAAAAACAAUUAAAUUUGUGACUUCUGUUUUUCCAGGAAUCGGAGAAGAUAUGUAAAUGAGCAAAGAGUCUCCAAAAGCAACGUUGAGAAGUUGCUAGAUGUUUUUCCGCAGGUUGUCUUUCCUACUGGUAUGCAAUCCUCCUCUAUUUUUUUUUUUUUACUUUACUACUGGACUAGUGGAAAUGGUGGCUUCUAUUUCAGCCUGCUUUUGUUGCUCUUUUUAUUGGCUUCCAAUGUAAAUCUUUUGUCAUUGAGUUUCUUGACCACUUCCUAAUUUUGACAACCACACUGAUAUAGCUAAUGAUGCCCAGCAUUUUGGAAGCACAGGAAUAUAUGAAAAACAGAAUAUGGCUGGGAACUUUUAUAUUGUGUAAUUUCUUGUAAAUUUUGGCAAGAUAAUGUUGAAGAUAUAUGCUUUCUUGAUAUGGUUGAGGGAUGUGCAUCUUGACAUCGUAUAUUUCAUCUGCAGGAAGCAAGAGCAGGGUAAGGGAAUUACCUGGUGCAGCUUUGUUUUGCCUUUCUUUUGCUCCUCUGGAUAUGAUAAACAGGGGAAUGUUAAAAGUAAGACAAUGUCAGCCAUUCUUAAAAUUUGAACUCUUUUACAACACAUGUACCGACAAUUUUACAUGUGUAUCGAUUUACAGGAUUUGGAAGAAGUAAAUGCUAAAUUUGAGAAUGCACUGCUAGAAAUAGCUUCCUCUCUUCAGCUCUCAAGAAAUAUUUUGGUUGCCCUUAUCACAUUGCAAUCAUGGAAAUCCUUCAUGCAAAGGUGGAUGAAAGUUCAGUUGAUGUUACUUGAUGCUAAGGCUCAUUCAACUGUGUUGGAUAGAACUUCUAAAGCUGCAAAUAACAUUCUGAAGGUUGGCUAAGAAUUUGUCAUGGCUAUGCAACUUUUAGAAGACUCCAUUUGCUCAAUUUUGAAAUCAAGCAUUUAGUACUUCCUACGUUUAAUUCUCAUGCAGAUUGUGAGGCGGAUCUCAGAUGAAUGUAUCCCUAGCUCUGCGAAAAUUUUGCUCUCGCUAUUGGUGCUCUUUGUUCGGUACAUAAUCUCUCUCUCUCUCUCUGAAAUAAUGACUUGAAUGUUUCAGUGUUAUUUGCGGAUUAAUGCAUUUGUUGGUAUUGUUUGCACUUCUUUGUGCUGAUUGCAAUUGGGCAGCCAUACUUUGUAAACAUAUUGAGAGACACUAGUAAUUGAAGGAUAGAAGGAGGUCUCUUUUUACUUUCUGUACUUAAUCAAGUAAUUAGAAUGGAUAGCUUACCAAGUUUAAUGGAAUGGACUUCUGAAAACAAUAUUUCUUUGUGCUGCAGAGUUUUGUCAAGGUUAUGGAUGUUUUAUGCUGUUUUUUUGUAAACCAAUUGAUCUUCCAUUUUGUAAUAUUAUGCCAUCUAUAAAUACUCACUGAAUCCUUUGAAGUCCAACAUAAAGUAAAUAUAUUAGUGUUAGGGCUGCUGGAAAUGGAACCAAUGGGGGUACAGAGGAUAUGCAGACAUUGUCUUGGACAUGUUGACUGUUCAUGCUUCUUUAUACCUGUCAUAAGCAUGGAUGGAAAAUAUCCACUGAUUACAUAUUAGGAAGGUGUCUUGUUUCAUUUUCUUUGUAAAUUUGCAUACUGGAGUUAUCCUGAUUCUUGGUAUGGGUCUUGGUAGUCACUUGAUCUUGUUGUAUAGUAUCGAUGUAUUUGUUAGCUUUGGAACUAGCUGUUUUUGUGGUGGUGUGAGACUUUGAUGGAUUAAUAGGAAUUUUCCAAAUUCAAGGGCUUCAUUUGAUGGUUCAAAAAUUGAGAGGCAACUUCCUCUCUUCUUGUUCUAGUGAUUUCUAAAGUUUUGACAUCUUAGAUUGCUUUUAAUCUCUUUUGUGGCUUGAUUGUGAUCUUAAGGUACGUGCUUUUUCAAUUUUUUCUUUUUCUCACAUGUUUUUUUCAGGCACUUCCCCAGUCUGUACACACUGUUAAGUCUUCUGCUUCGAAGUUUCUGUUGGAUUGGUUGUUUCAAUAUGAAACGAGUGUCGACAGUGGUCUGCUGCAAUUUCUCUUGGAUUGGUAUCAAGUUGUCUUCAUGUGACUGACUGCAAACAAAAGUAUGAAAACAUCAAGGCCCUUCUUGAGGUAUGAUUAUGCACUUGCAUAAUACGAAGCUGAUACUGCCUGAUGGGAAUAAAGUCUUGUCUUCAUCCAUAUCAUUGCUACACUUUGUGUUUCAGACAGCAAUUGCAGUGUCCAGUCGGGCAUGUCUAAGUCUUUUUUGAGCCUCUGCGGUUAGGCUUGAUAACUUUAUAUGUAUUAUUAAAUAACGGGUUGAUGACUAAUUAACUAGAGAAUUUACUGGGAUUAGCCCAUUUGUCGAAGGAUAUAUGUGAUGCUUUUUUCCUUUUCACUAACCCAUUGGGAAUAAAUAGUUCUUCCGGAAAAGGGGAACGAUCAUAUUUACCCAGAUCCUCCAAAGUACAAAGUACUAAGGUGGGAAAGUAAAAUAAGAUAUCUGCUUGGGGAAAAUGGUGAGAUAAUUUGAACUUUUGAGGUAGGAUUCCAUCUAUACUUGGGAAUGUAAAUUUUUCCUAAAAAUAAAAGAUCUGUAUACUUGAAUGGCUUAAGUUAGUCGUUUAGCAUGUCCAGAAGUCCGGAUGAAGAUUUGGAAACUAAUACAACUUGAAAAACAAAAGGUAAUUGGAAUUGAUAGUUUUGAGAGUUCUUUACUUCAUGAGAUUGUGACCAAGUCAUUUUCUGUAAGACACAAAAGCCAAAUGCAAAUUCUUGACCUCUUUUAGCAGGGUAAAUUUUGUUGGAAGCUGCUGUAAUACAUUAACAUGAUAUGAUCUUUUUCAGGUUUUAUCAAUUAGCAAAAACACCCUUGUAAAAGGAGCUUGUGGAGUUGGAUUGGGUUUUUCUUGUCAAGAUCUUCUUACGAGGGUUGAUUCUGAAUGUAAUCCUCAGUUGGAGAAGGAACACAAGAGACAGGAAGUAGAAUUAUUAAGGAAUAUCAUUGGGGUGUUAGCCAGGAGUCUAUGUCAGUUCGCACAAUCUUCUGCUGAUAUACUACAACAGCUAGCUGCAUGUGUUCCAUUUGUAAUGGAUGAAUGUGAUCCAGAUAUCUCAGUUGAGUUGGUGCAUGAGAAUGAUGAUGAUUUGGAGGAAGACAUAUGGGGCGUUGCUGGACUUAUCUUGGGUUUGGGAAGUUCUGUUAGUGCAUUAUAUAGAGCUGGAGCUAAUGAUGCUGUUAUAAACAUAAAGGAAUGGAUUUUUUCUUGUAUUCCAGACUUAAAUCCUUCAUUACAGAAAGAUAUGAUCUUUGAAAGACGUGAGAUGGUAUUAUCUGUUGGUUCUUGUCUUGCUCUUCCUAUUGUAGUGGCUUUCUGCCAACGAGUAGAACUGAUUGAUGAUAGCGAGAUAGAGCAGCUGGUGAGUCAUUUUGUUGAGUUGAUCUCUGAGCUAUUAUCUGUUGAAAAUUCUGGCACCUUCAACCAGAGCUUGUUGAUGGUAUCUUGUGUUGGAGCUGGAAACCUUUUGUCCACCAUCAUGAAUGGAGGGGUGCACUCCUUAAAGGUUGAUAAUAUUAAAGAAAUACUAUCAUUGCUCAGGAAAAGUUAUUCUAGUCCUCACCCACCAUAUGUCCAUCUGGGAGCGAUACUUGGAAUAGUCUCUGCAUUAGGGGCAGAUAUUGGAUUACUGGCUCAAUAUGCCCCUUAUUUGCAAGCAGGCAUCUCAUUUGAUCAGAAGGUGAUUAUAAACUCUUGUAUAUAGAUUCUUGUAGCCAAAAUAUACGUAGUUUUUUCAGUUUUCUCAAAUUAUGGUAAACAAAUUCUUUUUGGCUUCUUGCUACUAGCUAAAUAUAGACAUGGUAAAUGUACGUGGUCAGAAGCAAGUAGAUGGGAGAUAAGAGACUUGGGAAUUAAUGUUGUUAUUGAGGUGCAUAUUAGUGAUGGAAGAUUAACUGAUUAAGUAUGAAAAAGGAGGAGGCUAACUUUAUGGUUGGAUUAGCAUGUGUGGAGCACGUAUUGUUUACUCUAUAGUCUGACAUGCGUAUCUCAGUGUCUCCUAGCAGUUUAGAGGAAGAAGCAAGAAACAUAUUACUCAACUGACCGCCUUUCUUUUGUCAUGUUUGGUUAUCAGCUGGAAUCUUCUCGUAUCAGGGGUCCGUUACUUUCAAACCCAUUCUUUGAGCCUGAAUUGACAUCAUUAGUAAGGGAGAUCUUUCAUAUCGCACAAAGUUCUGAUAACAAUCAGUUGCAACAAUUUGCGGCUUGGGGAAUCUCAUUUCUUGGCAUUGUUCAUGGUUCAGACCACCUCAAAAGGAGAAUACUUUUGAAGAGGAUGCAGUAGGCUCAGUCUCUCAAAGGCUUCCGAAGGACAGUCUAGUCAUCAAAGUCUCUUUGUGGUUAAUGCAUCUGGACCCCGAAGUAUGUCAUUUCAUGCCUUGCUUAAUUUCUUAUUUUCCCUAUAUUUCCAAUUGAGAUUUUUUCUUGAAAUACAUGUACAAGAUGAGAUAUUUGUUAAUAUUCAGCCAGUCAAAUUUUAUUAUCUCACAGAUUUUGAUCUGCAACUUCAAAGUAAAAGCCUGCAGUGUAUUGGACCUGAAUACUAAAUUGCUUGCUCUUUACCUGAAUAGCAUAUCUGGCUAAGUACAGAACUAAAUGUUACCAUUUAGCAUGUGCUGGUGUGAUUAUGUCUUUUACAUGUUUGGUUUAAAUUUAGUUCAUGUAUGACACAAAUUAAGUCAAGCCAGGAUCUUACACUCUUCAUUCUGCAAUCUGGGGGAGUAAACUGCCCUUACUUUAUGCCUUGGCACAUAACACCAAGAAUUUCUGAUAACCUAUCAUGAUGGCCUCUUGUGCACAAACACACCUUAUGCCUAACUGCCAUACCAAUCCUGCCUUUAUAAAUAGGACAGCAGAGCAGACAAUAACACAGUCUAGGAAGGGGAGGACGAUGUCAAAGCGAAAGCAAACUUGAAGCUAAUUCUGAAUGUUUGAUAGUGCAAGUGAAGGAAGGAAAGGAAGAUAAGUGUGGGAGAUAAGACUGAUAUGGUUGACUACCCAGGGCAUUUGUUAGAUGCUUUCCUGUGUCUCUUUGUUCAACUCAUCUAUCAGCAUAUAGGAAGAUCUGUGAUGAGAGAGAGAUGAAGUACUGAUCCGGCAAUAUGUCAUAAGAAAGAUCUGUUCUGGUGGUUAUCCUGUAGGUGGUUUGCAAACAAUAUGUAUAGUGAUGAUAUCUGAUCAUGAAACAAAGUUGAAUCUUAAUAGCCAGAUGAAACGCCUAGAAAUGCUUUUCCAAAUGAUUCUAUUUGCUAUGCUGCUUUCUGCCUGGCCUUAGUUUCUUCUUUCGAUAAUAAUUGCAUCCUCGUACCAUACCUCCUCUUUUUUUCUAGACUGAUGAGGGUAAUGCCAGAGUAACUAUAUUGUACAAUAAGAUCUUUAAGAUUAGUCCUUGUUGUUUUCCUCUUUAGCAUUUCUGUCCUUGCAUUUUUUGACUCUCUCAAAGGUAGUUUCUAAGUAAACAGGACACAGCUCAACAAAACCUUGUGCCUAUCGUCUAGGAUAAGAUACACGAGACAGGCAUAUAGCUUAGUUCAGGAGAAGACUUCUUAGACUCUGGGUUGCCAUGUCAUGUCCUUCAGUCUUUGCUUGGACUUUAGGAUUAUGUCGAAACUGCGGUGCUACAGAGAGAUACUGCUAUUCAAACAUUGAAGGAGCAACUUUACUUGAAAUGACCAACUUCACCACUAACUUUGAGCAGGUGUCUUGUUUUCUACUUCUGAUGUUUCUGCUGCUUUCAGAUGCAGAUGGGUGCCACUUCAAAUGUUGUUUCAGUAAUAACUGCAUUGCGGUGCCUUUCAUAUGCCUCUAGAUUGCCAAAGUUGGAUUGGGGAGCAAUCAUUAGAAGGUGCAUGAGAUAUGAGGACCAAGUUGCUAAAUUGUGCACCCCCGAGUCUUCCGUUAAGAAAGGAGUUCUACGACAGGAAUGUUUAUUAUUCUCUUUAUCGCACGCAAACCAGUUUCAUUCACUCCUUGUAUUUCUUGAUGAGCUCUUUGACCUUUCCAGGUUUAGGACACUUGACCUGAAUUUGCAGUCAUGUUUGCUUUUGCAUCUGGCAGACCUGAUCAAGAUAUUCUCACUUUCAAGGGUUGAGAAGCUAUUUGAUGAUGUAACCAACUACUUCUCUUGGUUAGUCUCUUCUGAACAGUACAGCACGAAGAGAAAAGCUUGUUAAGGGCUUCCUGUUGGAAGGGUCUCUACUUAUGUUUGGAUGAAGAGUUUCUUGAUGCCCAACAUCAUAUGUCGAACCUUGAGAACUGCAUGAAGAUGCUCUUUGCUCUUUUACCUGCCGUGGCCAUUGGCGAAUCAUGUUCUGGAAUUUUGAAGGAGUGGUCUGAAGCAGUUAGGUGUCUAAGAAAGGCUAACCAGGGAUGGCUAUUAGAUCUUCUGAAGGUAUUGGUUCAAGUCUUCUUCUUCUUCUUCUUUUUUUUUUAUUUCCUUUGCCAUGAGGUUCUCUCUCUCUUUCUCCUUUUUUUUGGGUGGUUGGAUGGGCUGGGGGGUUGGGGAAAGGGAGUUUUUGUUGUCAGGCUUUUUGUCAAAUUGUAUUAGUCUGCCCAUUUUUUAUAUCUUAUUCUAGAAUCACAUAAAUGAAUGAUCUGUUGGAGAUAUAGUAUUAUGCCGACUGUUUGUUCACAUGUGGGGCUUAAUGUGUUGAUAUAGGUUUGAGUUAUUGUGUUUACGAGGUAGAAAUUACUUUUUGCUUGAGCUAGCAUUGUAAACUAUAGCCAUCUUGUGCUACAUGUAGGCACCUGAGGGGACCUUCAUGGAGGACAAUGGCCAAUUCUUUGAAGUUGUGAAAAAGAUUCAAGCUAAAGCGAGGCUGGCGCGAAUUGGUUCCAUCCCCUUAAAUGAGCUUGGGAGAUUGAAAGCUUGUAUGCUGAAUACUAGAUCACAAGGUCAGACUGUAAAAUUUAUGUUAGUAGAGCAUAAAGUAUAGGAAGACCAUUAAAUUGUGGUACAGCACGGCAAACAUUAAGUAUAGGGGGACCAAAAAAAAAAAAGGAAAAAAAAGUACUUCACUGGUUUGUUCUGAUGGUUACCUGAUCCUGGAGUGUUCCUUAUAGCAUCUAUACAUUAUGCAGCCAGCUCCAAACCCCUGGGAAAUAAUAGUAAAGAAUCAAUACUUGAAAAGCAAAUUGAUUUCUGACUUCAAUGUUUUUUGCAGUUAUUUGGAAUGUUCUGGUGGAAGUUGCUGCAACCCUGCAACAUGCAGAGGAAAGCAUCAAAAGACAGUGGCUUCUCGAUACGCUGCAAAUUAGUUGUGUGACGAGUUAUCCUUCCACGGUAUGUAGUGACCUGUUGGGUUUUAAGUUUCAGGUGGCUAAUUAUGGUCUUAACCAUAGAGAUAAAGAACAAGAGUUGCUUCAUUUUAUCAUAUAAAAAGCAAAGUGGGAUGACUAAAUAAGUGGAGUUACGUUUGAUUAUCACAAAAAUGUCCAAAUCCCAGAAUGCCUACUACCAUUAAAAGCUUUGACUGCACUGCAUGUUCUUUUCCUUCUUUUGCAGGCGCUGCGAUUUCUUGGCCUUUUGUGCGGUAACUAUUGCAAGUAUAUGCCUGUUCUGGUUGUGGAUGCGGACACCGUACUGAGUGAUCUACCUGUCACGCUUGCAAGUGUCCUUUUAGAUUGCAGUUUUGGUGGUGUAGCAGAAGCCGUAGUGCUGUCAUUGUGGACGUUGACAGAACGACUUUAUGCUUGGGCAUUGUGCAGAUCAAAGGAUAAUUAUACACCUUCUCAAAGGUCUAUUGACAGGACUGAGGAUGAGAUGGCAGCGCUUCUGUUGAAAGUGACGCAUCAUGCCUGUGUUCUUCUAAAUAACCACCUGCCUGUAGACAAGCGACUUAAGCUUGCUAAUAUGGUGGUCCCGGACACAUUAUUGUUCAUCGAGACGUAAUGUGGGUCAAUUGUUUUCAGCGGCUACCAACGCUGCGAUGCAGACCCAUCCAGUUCAUAGAAUUGUAUGUGAUAAAUACUGGCGGGCUUUUGGUCCGGUCAAAGUGUACGAGGAACUUGGUUGCAUUAGCCCGCCCGGGAACUGUUUCUUUCACGAGAUGACGUCUGAUUUCGUUCCGGAAGCGAUUAACUCCUGCAAAUCGUUUCCUUUACCUAGAAUCUGAUGGCCGGUAGCUAAGUUCUCAGUGUACUAAUGGGAUUCGGGGCAGUUAAUGGUCCAGAUCGGAUCAUAUCGAUUCGGUCAUGGGCCAUUCAUUUUACAAUUACAAAAAUUUGAAAUGAACCUUGAAUCCAUUUUGAUGAGUUGGAUCCUCGGAAUUCAAUUAAUCGGCGGCGGGUGAUCAUUUCCGACGUAACACGACGUCAGCCACAACUGGCAACUAACUAACUAGUUGAAUUGGGUCGUUGCUCGGAUGAUCACCACCGAGCAGCCAUCCGCUUCAAGUGUGAAUGAAAGAUUUAAAAUGCUUUCUUCCAUUUAAUUACUGUGAAUGAAAGAUUCCACUUCCAUUUAAGUACUGCAAGAAAUAGUAGUAUGUAUGUCAAUGUUUAUUACAGCUCCAACUACUGACUGACGACGGCUCAUUCGUCUUCAUUUCUUCUUCCUCUAACCACCUUUAUCUCAUUUCGUAUGCAUGCAUGCUAACACAAUUUUCAAUGCUCAUUUCACUAAUUAAUCUAAUCUUAUAAAAAAAUAAUAAUAAUUUCUGUUACCAUGUAAUUCGGCGCGCUUUGUACCAGUAGAGCAACAGAAAAGAGGUAAAGAAGCCAAUGUACCUUUGUUAUAGAUGAAACUUUUUGAGCUAAGUUUCUCAAUUCUAAAAUCUUUAAAAUUCAAAAAUUAAACAAUUUGUUACAACUAACAAGCGUACCUGAACAGCUUAGAGCUGAUCAUCAGGAUAUUCCCCCUUUACAUUUCCAAAAUAUAUAAGAGAUUAAAACAAAAUUGAGACCAGAAAUUGCUAGGACACUUGAAUCAUUUUACUCGUAAAAAAAUACCUCUCUGUACAACUCCGACAAUUAGGCCACGAUCAAAAACUGUCAAGGCGAAUUUUUCCCACCAGACACCAUUGUUGAAGUAGAUUCCAAAUCUUCAUCCCGGUCCACAUGCUCUGCAUCACUUGCUUUUAGUUUCAGAUUUUGAGAUUCAGCGUUUCCCAAGGUAUUUGCGGCCUGGAUUUCCACUUCCCCAGCAGAUUGAACAGUAGCAUCAGAAGACCAUUUCGAGGAAGCACAAGGGUGUUCCUUCCCACUAUUGUCCCUGCUUGUGCUACUACAAGACAGCCACCCAAACUGCAAAUUUUGGCCUUGCCAGCAUUUACCAUGUAAAAAUGCCUUUUCGGCAGAGCGGCGAGUCGUAAAAGAUAUACGACCUGAAACUUUGGAUGCCUCUGACUCGUUAUCACCAUCUUGAGGCUUGGUAUCUUCCAGUUCGACAACAGAGAGAUCUCCAAAAACAGAGAAAUGUUCCUUCAGAUUGGAAACCUAGUAGAAAUAAACAAGUUAUCAGCACUCACAAUCUGACAAGACAUCAGGGACAACAAAAUAUUUAUGCAGAUAAUUCCAACCGCAUGAAAACAUACAAAGUCCCAAACUACAACCCCGAUUUUGAUUGGUGCUGAUUAAAGCAUACAUCCAAUUUUAAUUGGAAAAAGAAGAAAAACUCUGAAAAAGAAUAAUUCCAUAAUCUUUUACAGUGAAUCAUAUAUUGGCGCAAGUACUAAAAACAAUGUCAUGCUCAGUAUGAGAAUCUAAUAGACUUAGAAGCAUAAAACUCAGUACAAGGUACGACCUGCUCAAGCUGAUUCUUACAAAAUCAAAUUAAGGAAGAAAAAACAGUCCUCAGAGCCAGCAGCAUGACUCUUGGGGAACUGUUUAGUGUGAAAAAACUGUGCAACAUAUGGCAGCUCAUUGCAAGGAAAUAAAAUUAUCUGUAAGCAAGGACAUGAAUAUGUCAGGAAAACCAAAAGAGAGAUUACAUUAGCAAGACCAGCUGGCAGAGGUGGAAGAAUUUUGAAUGCAGUGGGGCGGUUAUCCAGUUUGAAUCUGUUGAUGACCAUUGGUGCUCCUAAAGGUGCCAAUGGGCGAAUUGAGGGUUUCAAAAUUGAGGAUUCUGGCAAUGCAAUAGUAGAAUUAAUUUUUGGACUGCGGGCCACAGCACUCUCACCAGCUCUGCCACUAUCCAUUGUCGUAUCUGCUUGUGGUGAUGAAAUAGCAGUACCAGAAUCACUGGGCCUCAACAUUUCAAUUUUAGCAACAUCAACCACCAUGCCUCCUUUUUGCCCCUUAGAAGGCUGAUCUAAUGCUACCUCCUCUUUAAGACCAGUGGCCUGCAAAAACUGAACCCUUGAGAAAAGAAAUCCAAAUGAAAAGCAGUAGGUCAGUUACUAUACAUACAAUUUUAUGGAAAUAUACCAUACAUAUUCCCUACUUGUAACCAAGAUAUCAUCACAUUAUACAUAAACAAUAUGUCCUAAUUCACUUUCCAAUCUUUUCUUAAAGUGUGUUUUAGUAUGUAUCUUGAGACUCACUGCCAGAUACUUUUUGACUUGCAACUAAGAUGUGAUGCUAGACACCAGGUAGGAGAUCUAAGAUAAAAAAUCCAGACAACAGGAAAAUACAAAAUUUCCAGAAAAGAAAAUAUGCUCUUGACAACUCAUGAAAUUUCUAAUAGAAAGAAGUAACCAGUACUUGUUUCUCCAGUUUAUUUAACUGGCGCUUGAACUCAUUCCUUUUUUGGUCAAGCAUUUCCUGCUUCUUUCGCACUUGUUCCUUCAAAAGCUCUAAACUCUCCAGCUUCUUUUGCAAAGGAGGUACAGCUUUGGGGCCAUUGGUAGCCACAGGCUUUGGAUGAUCAGAACCAGGCAAAGGAGAAAUGGCAGAAUUGGCAAUACUACUUUUAGACCCUGAUAUUUGGAUAUUAUCUUUUCCUUUGGUGGUAACAGAUGGAUAGGUAGGACCCCCAGUAAAGGUCACACCACGGGGAUUAGCAUGUAUAUUACCAACACCACCUGUUCCAUCAUCAGGUAUGCUGUCCCGGUUAGCCCACCACAGCUUGAUAAAGCGAUUGCCCAUUACAGCAUCAGGAGCCUUCAGAGCAGCUUCUGCUUCUUCCCUCUUAGAAAAUUGAACAAAAGCUCGUUCACUGUUCGAUGGGAUAUAAAUGUCAAUAACCUCACCAAAUUUUUGAAAAUGUAAAAGAAGCGCUUCCCUUUUGUUUUCUUUCUGAGGAACACCACUGACAAACAGAGUACGAAGUGCCUUUUGAGAUGGUUUUCUAAUACUACGUCCAGAAUCACCAUGUGGCUUUGAAGACAAGCCUAAAACUUGCAUGCCAACUUCAUCUGCCUUCGUCCGUCUUCCAUGUAGGGCAAUGGCCUCAGCACCGUUAAUGGACUCCAUGUCCUUUUUUGCUUCAUUUUCUAGAUGACUAGGGGAAUUCAAAGUAGAACCAAUCUUCUCCCUCACAUCCCCCCUAUUUCUUGAACUGCCAAUCCUUCCCCAAACAGAGGAACUUUGACAGCCUGUAACAGCCCCAGCAUUUCUUGCCGGACGCUCAUUAUCAGAACCAUCAAACUGUCCAACUGAAAGACGAUCUGAACAAUCUGCAUCCACCAGAGGCUCAACCUUAUCCAGAUUGGAUGGAUUUAGGGCUAGAAGUUCAGGUGAUGUAUCAGGACAAUCACUUGCCCAUAAAGGUUGGUCAGGAUCAUACAGAUCAGAUCCUCCUGCCAUAGAACCACCAACAAAAGCACCAUUCAAACCUAAUCCAUCAUCCCCUAUUCCAGGCUUGCUAUUUUUGCUCUGUAGACAUUUGCUAUUCAUGAAUGCGCCAGAAGAAGAAUUUGCAGGUAGAGGUCCUUGUCCAGCAGGUGUUCCCAAUAGAUGUGCACUAGGCAAUGAAACAGGAAGAUUAAACUGUGAAAGGCUCUGCAAUGCAAGAAAAGAGAAGUCUAGUUAAAUGCACAUGCAAUAACUUGCCCAAGAAUUGUUCAUAGCAGUGUAUUGUAUGGUGGAAUCAGAUUUACUACUUCAGAAAUCUAAAUCAAAUAGAAAAAAAAUAAGAGCAUCUUUUACUUCCUCAAAAAGAAAUUCAUGAAUAGUUAAAAGGAGCAAUAAUAUGAGAAGAAAAUAAAAUACAUUAUUUUGGCUACUCUUUCAUCCACUAAUGGUAACUGUCAUUUUCUUCUAACAAGAAGAAAAUAUUACUAGCUAUAUCCACAGCUCCCCAAACUAUGCAAUGCUUUAUUGAACUACUGCAUUAUCCAGCAUCUCUAUGUAUUCAACAAGUAAAGUUCAUGACUGUUUUCAGUGCCUAUGGAGGCAAGGAUUAACCCAUGCGACAUGCAGUUGAUCAAAGAACACUAAGCUAGUUUUAUUUAUCCAGAAGUCCUGACAGGUAUUUCCCUGAAUAGAAACGAGUUAAAUUAUUUUGUUAGAAGUACACUAGGACUUGGCUGCAAAAGAGUUGACAACAGAACUAUGCCAAAUUUACCAUUCCACAGCCACCUGUUCGCAACUUAAGACAGAUAUACAUGCAGAAACUGAAGAAUUCAAGCCACAUGGAAUGUAGAAAUGUGUGGAGACAAUAUAGAUUGAGACAUGUAAAAUGCAAUAUUAAAUUCGAUAUAACUGGGCAAUAAAAGACAAGAUAAUACUACCAACAAAAUUUCUUUGAUCACAAAUCAUGUACCUGAACAUCCUCAACAACUAUACGGUUGACACCAUGCUCCAUCGGACACAUAUCUCCUCUUAAGCAAAAACCACGCUCCUCAAAAUCUCUACAACGUGGCCGAGAUAUGCCCAAGUUCACCGUAGGGUUAAUUGAUGGUUUCAAUGCCCCUUGCAAACCGAUGGAAUGAAGAGUAUCAAGACCACCAUUAGGCAUAGCUGGAACCAACCCAAAUGCAUUCCAAGUUGCACUCUGCACAUUGGAAACAUUCGGUAACCCCCUACCUGCAAAUAGACUAGGAGGAAUGGAUCCCUGUUGAACAAGUUGAGAAGCAAUAUCUGCAGAACUAAACCUCGAAUCACGCUGCCCCCAAGCACCAGAUUCUCUACCUCUACCCCUAGUGGGCCCAGGAUCAGCUGACAGGGACUGGUUUAACCUAAUUCUUUGGCUUAACUCUGUUGGAGCUCUGGAAAAUGAUGCCAAAUUUGGACGUCUUUUCUCAAACCUACCAGAGGAAUCUCUCUCCUGAUUGCCGAAGUUGUAGGUCUUCCAGGUUUCACUAGACUGAGAACCACUUUCCCUACAAGGAUGCCCAUUUUCAAAUGGCUUCCUUUUUCUGUAGGGUCUUGUCAAAACUUGUUCAGAAGCAUCACCCUCCAAUGAUUGAGAACGUGCUUCUCGUCUACGAUGCUUAUGAUUACGAUCAUCAUCAUCGUCUUCACUAAUUUCUUUCUCCUCGGGAUCGCUAGCAGGAGAAAGGCCUAUUUUAGGAGAAGUGACUUUUAGCUCCAUUCAAAACCUCUUAUGAAGAAGAAGACCAAGACCAAAUAAUUUUAUAGCAUCAAAAAGUAUAAUGCACCAGGCAGCUGAAUAAUGAGAACCACUUUAUUUACAGAAUCAGCAAAGAGGGCUAGCGCCUGAAAUAAAGAGCAGCAUUGAUUAAGCAGAUAGGAAUGUCAAAAUGCAGAAAUACCAACAUUCAUAAGCUAAGUGAUAGAAUUAACAUGCAUAAUAUGUUGCUUUAGGCAUCUUAAAUGAAGAAACAAUUCCCUUUGCAUGAAAUCAAAGCACAGUAAUUACUUUUAAAUGUAAACCACAAUACUAAUACUAAAAUCGAUAUUCAAGGACAACAAAAGAGACUAGACUUGAUUUGUCAAAAAUCCAUGUUGCCUUUGAAUGGAGUAAACUAGAUUAUCCCUCAGCAUUUGACAUUUAUAUCAGAGUCCCUCAAUGUGGCCAAAGUGCCACUAACACCUGAGAAGCAACUUGUCCCUACUACUCCACCAACUACUACUAUUCAAAAGAAUACCUGUGUAACAACAAAGGUACUCAACAGUCUUAGUUCUAAAAAACAAUUACUUUCCAAGUGCAAAUUACUCAUAAGUCCAAAAACCAGAACCAGCACCAGCACCAGCAUUGCCGGGAUAGCCAACACUAAAAAUCCAAAAUAAAAAACUAAAAACAGAAAUAUUAAUAAAACAAAUCCGAUAUGAAAAAACCUGUCUACUUGUGUAUUGCUGUGUGCCACACUUCGUUUUUGUCAACCUUUUAGCCCAUUUGGUAUAACUCAUCUGGAAUGACAGUCCACCUCGUAAAUGAGCUUUGCAAAUGGACAUUAAUGAACUUCUAAGGUAAAGUCAUUUCAAGCAAGCAGCUACUCCAUGAAAAGCCUUGCUCUGUACAUUAGUGCUUAAGGAGCACUUUCUCCAAUUAUUAAAAAUCAAGGUGGCUUUCUGGUACCAUCCAUACCUAAAUGCACCAAUUAAUCAUCUAGACACGUUGCUCCAUUCCUUUGCCAUUUUGUGAAAUGAUUCAUAAUAGAUUGACCAACCACCUUUCCCUUAAUCUAUCCCCAACUCAUUACCACCAAUUCAAUCACCACAACAUAAUCUAAUGUCUACCCCAUCCAUAUUCUGUCCAACAGCCUUCAUGAUGUGGAGUCUUAUUUACAAAGGUAUCCAAUUUUUUGCAAUCUAUUCCAGCUCUCUCUCUCUCUCUUCUUUUAUUGUUUGAGUAAAAUAGCCUUAAAUAUGUCAUAAAACUACAAGCAGUUCAGAGGUCACUUUAGAAACAGAGAAUUCAUGUUCCCAAGAAGUUCCAUAGCUCCAAAAUAAAUGAAGAACUGUAAGCAACAACAUUAAUGUCAAAUUUGCAUUAGGUCAUGAAUUCUAGUUUUGGUGACAAGAAACACAUCACCUUAAUACAGAAGCAUAAUCAAUUAGAAUGGUGGUAAUAAAAAAAAAAACUUGUGUUCAUCGGGAACUACAAUUUUAGCAUUACCUUAGUCAAAAUUUUUGGCAAUUCUUAACCUCCCCAUAAAAUUUGGCAGGAAAAGCUCUCCUUUUUCAAUGUGUAAUUAAAUCUCAUCCAGUCCACCACCAUCGUCCAUAUAAAUUUAAAAGAUAACACUGAAAUAACACCAUUCAUACAAAAAGAAACAGUUCAAGUGAUGACCAUUAAUGAGCAUGAGAAAAAUUUAAAUGUGUGGGAGAACUGAAAUUGGUGUGCCUCUAUCUGGCGGGUAUGAGAGAGAAAGAGACAGAAGGUGCUUGCAAGUGUAUAAAGACUUGAUGGGCUUAUGCUUGAAGACCAUUACCUAAUCUUCGGUAAACAUCUCAAACGGGAGACAACGCACAGACGUGGCUGGAACUGAAAAUCUUGCAUUGAAAUUGAUCAAUUUGACUCCAAAAAAGACUAAUAACACGUGUUUUACUUAACUCGUCUCUCUUAUAAUCUUGUGAAAUGUCAAACCAAUGAGUCACACUUCAUCAAAAUCCUAUGUGGUCAAUUUCAAUAAAUGAGCGUCCAAGGAGUCAACAUUAGGCAACAAGAUUUAUCUACACAUAUGACGAGAUGCACAUUCAAUUACCAAAAAAAUCUUAAAUGCUAAAGAGUACACGAGAAUUGGCCAUUUAAAGACACUACAUAACUAUGCAAACAAACAUCCAGCUUUCCAUCAAACCAACCGAAAGUAAAUAUUUCCCAAAAUGCAGUAAAACCUCAGCAGCUCAUAAAAAGAGAAAGUAACAAAAAAUCAAUUAUCUAUAAAUUCCACAACUAACCAAAGGGCCAGCAUGUACACAUGUAGGAGCCAAGUGCACCAGUCAUGCAGUUCACCCAAGAUACUCAUACCUAAAGGCCAGACCCUAGUUCCACAGCCAGUAAAGUGUACAGAUGAUAUCGAACAGCAGUUACAGAACAAUAAUCUAAGAAGGGGCGCUCUUAUCCCAGGCAUACCCACUGUAGCUCAUCAGCCCAAAAGAAGGAAGAUAUGGAGCAAAAUUACUUUAAAAAAAAUAAAAGGAAUAAAAUAAGCAAUGCCAUGAACACUUAAAAAAGAGUUCGUUACUUAAGCCAGUCCAGAUAGUGUCGCAUACAAUGGGAACCAACAUAAAAGGGAAAGGAAAAAGAAAAAUAGUAGCACUAACAAUAAAAGCUAUUACAAAGCCCAAACCCUAAUUCAAUUAAGGCAAUUUGAUCACACAACUUAAAACAAAAUCCAAUAGCAAUAACGAAUUGAAAAAACGAAAAACUAGAAGGUAAACGAGCGAAACCUGUUGAAUUGUGAAUUAGGGUUUCGAACAUUUUUACUUUUUCUGUUCCCUUUUUCGGUGAAAUGAUAAAGAAAGCAGGCUGUAGCUUCUUCCUCCAAUAGUAAUCGGACCGUAAUUUUGCAGCUUACGCCAAGUCAGUAUUUUGUCUGUAUUUGCAAUCUCUAUAUUGUAUAAGCUCCCCUCCGUCCAAAUGUCGUUUUGUCUCUCUCUCUCUCUCUCUCUCUCUCUCUCUCUCUCUCUCUCUCUCUCCUCUCUCACGCACCCUGUGAAGAAGAAAAGAGGAGAAAAAAAAGGAGGGUUUUACAGAAGAAACACGGACGGAUUUGGGUAGCCAAUAAAAUAAUUUUAUCGUAAAUUGAAGAAAACAACCCUCAUGUGUUGCUAAAAUCCAGACAUAUUCAUCAUUCGGAAAUUUUGUCGCAGCCAACCAAAAGGGCUGAUUAAUGCCGGUGGCAGUCCCGCAAGCGUUUGAAUAGUUGCAGUAGUUUUAGUGUAAUUAUGGAUUGGCCCAAAAAGUAGUCUGGGAAGGCCAGCGGAACCCAAAAAGCAUGAUGGUGACCGUACUUGGAUUUAUAUAUUUAAAAAAAAAAAAAAAUACUCAACCAAGACCUCUAUUCUAGGCCUUACCUGCUUUAACUUGGGCUGGGAUUGGAGUUGCGGGGCCGCGGAGGUAGUCUAUAGCAAGCCCAUAUGUCUUUUUUUUAACAUAAGAACACUGAACACGCUCUCUGUUUUCGAGCCCACAAAGAAAGUUUUUGGGAAAUUUUGAAAAGGAAAAAGUAGGAAGGCUGAAAAUUUAUGAGCAGAGCAAGUAUUGGAAUAUUUGUAAAUGAGGUAUGGGCUGCUGUUCAUAACUUAAAAUGAAUAAUAAACUUACCAUUAAGAUUAAAUUACCUUCGUAAUUAUAUGCACUGCAUUGAAUACAAAUGUGCGCUUUUCUGUUUUUUUUUUUUUUUAAAAAAAAUUCACUUUUAGGGUUAGAAAUGUGCAUGUUGGCAAUUGUAAGUGCACAUCCAAAAUCUCCACGUUUAAAAUCCAUACAUGUGUACAUAUAUACGUUCAAAUGUGCAUAUAUGAUGCAUGUGCAUGUACAAGUACUAAUAUGUGCGCAAAAGAAUAAAAUCGUAAUUUUAUCAAGAACAAAAAAUGUUUUUUAUAAUUUACAAACAAUAACCCUAAAAUUUUAUUAUAUAGCAGGAGUCUAUUUCUAUUUUGCGCUGGGGAUAAAAACAACGUAAAAUUUUCAUUUUUAAGUUUUCGAUCUCUUUUUAACAUCCCAGGAAUACAAAGAAAACCGACAAAAGGGUCAUACUUAAGCAAAUUUAAGACAAGGCCCUUACAAUUACAGCAGACAACAAUAGUAGCAUAUUUGUUAUUGAUAACAUAAUCAAGAUAUUUUUUGACAAUGUUUUUAUCAGUCACCUUUUUUUUUUUUUUUUAAAUAAUAUGGUCAGUCCUUGCGCGCAAAGCAAAACGUUCAUAAAAGUGCAGCAUUAUUCAAACAAUUAAAACUGCAAACAUGUGGUUAAUUUCUUUCACCUGUAUUUCAUGAUAUAAUCUUUAUAGACAUUAUGGAAAUCUUCUUCGAAGUUAUUUCUGAAAACAACAUCAUAAAUGUAAACCAAAAAAAAAAAAAAAAAAACGAAAAGGUGAGAAAGUUCUUUUUGCUGCCUAAACGCCUUGACAAAUCAUAUUGACUUGAUAAUCACCAACGCCAAUAACGCCACGGGGCAAAGAAAGGACAGGACAUGACGCCGCCGAUUCAUGCGCCACAAGCAAAGAGGCAAGAAUAACAGUCAAGAGAUGCACAGCCAUCAUUAGUACCCAAAAAUUAUGAAACAGUAACCAAAAGUGCCCCCCGAGAUCCAAACAGAUAUUUCUUUCAGCAAAUGGCUGCCCCAACAACCUUCUGUACAUGAACACACAUCAGAAAAAGACGAGUUACCGACCAAACCAGCCUCGUGGAGGCUGGACUUCCCCAUCAUUCAUUAAUUUAUCUAAAACCACAUUAAGAUCAACGGAUUGCCCAUUCUCUGUCAAUUUCCGGACUGUUGCUCGCACCUGAUCUCUCGGAAAUCCCAUAUUUGUCACCUUGUCAACCACAUCAUCAACGGGAACCCUGUUUCCAGAACCUGAAGAACCAGAGCCACCACUGACCCCAGAGGCAGUAGGUAUUGCUUGAGGUAAAAUCCGUGCGGUAGGAAGCUGUGGAUAACCACUUCCACCACCAUGGCCAAUGACAGGAGAGGAAAGCUGCUGAGAUUUCGCAGGUGAGCCACUGCCAUACUGGGAUGACGAACCGCCAUACAAAUAUUGUUCCCCAGAACCAGAGGCUGGGCCGUAUGUCCCAGAAAAUCCUGGACCAGGCCGGCUAGAUGGCGGCUCAUACAUGUGCGGGGGAGCUCCAUAGAACUGCUGGUGGGGAGGAGCUGCGCUAGCUGGAAGGGAAGGAGUUUGGCGGUUAGCUGGAGAAUAACUUUGAGAUGGUACAUAAGGUGGUUCUUCAGGAUGAUGGGCUAAUGCAGGUUGGUGUUGGGGGGGAUUAGCAGCUUGGAGAGAGUUGUGUGGUUGAGGAGGUGCAGGAGGCUGAGAAUACUGAAGUUGAGGGAGGGCUUGGUACUGUUGCUGCAGCUGAGGUGGCGAAGAAGCCUGCAGCUGCUGUGGUGGAGGCAAUUGAUAUUGCUGGCCCAAGUUCUCUGAUGUUUGACCAGCUGGUGGUGGUGGCGGUGGUGGUGGAAAAUAAGGCUCCUGCUGAGGAACAGAAGGAAGUUGAUUAUGAGAGAACUGGCUUGGCAGCUGGACUUGAGGUGGUAGAUUUUGUUGCAAGGCCGGUGGAGGAGCAUUAGGAGGGACAACUGAUGGUGUUUGAGCAACAGGAGGAAGGUGCUGGUGAGAUUGUUGACUAACAGAUAAUGCAGGUUGUGAAGAAUCCAAAUGACUGGUGCCCUGUGUAUCCACAUGCUGCUCAGCCUUUGAAACUUCCAGCUUUGCAAGAUGCAGCUGAGCAUCCAAAAUUUCUUGCUUAUCCCUUAUAAACUGUAUACCAUUUUGCACCUGUACCCAUUUUUUGAUGCAGUCAACACAAACAACAAAAAACAGAGAGAGAGAGAGAUAAAAGGAGGAGGAGGAGAAGCAUAAACAUUACGCAUGACAACUUAAAUCUGACAAAAUUAGGUAUUCAUUUCAAGUCAAGAAACAACCUAGGAGCCUGAUUGCAAGAUGAGAAAAACAAUAAGACGUACCAAUCCAGACAAGCUUUGUUCAUUUUCCAAGCCAUUAUGGGAAGACAAAAGGAAAACUCAGGAACAAUCUCAUGAAGGGAAAAAACAGUGCAGGUACUGCAUCUACAAGCAUAAUUGUGAAGUGUCUGUGCUAAAGAGACCUUAAAUGGCAUAGAUGAAAUCAGUCUCUAGUGCAGAGAUGCUGAUUAUUUGGACCAAUAUAUUUGUCUAGCUCAACACUUAAGAUUGAGCUUAAAAAGCAACUAUCUCGCUCUAACUGUUUACCACUAACGCUCUGUUGCACUUUUGCAAGGGAAUAAAAAUUUUCAAUAAUACAGCUGUGGGUUAACUCAGACAAUCUGUACAAGUUUGGAUUUUUAAAAAAAAAAGGCUCUAGGCUUAAGUAGCCAAUAGCAGUAGAUCUCAAAUAAUUAUUUUAGCCAACCUUUUGACCUUAAUAACUUGCAAUGGCUGGAGAAGGUAAGGAGAUAAGAUCAACGUGGCCAUGCACCAGAAAAUAAUGCACAAUAUAAACAUUACAACCCUGGAAAGGUGCAUUUCUAUUAAAAACAAAACCCUCGCAUGCAUAAACUUCUCAAAAAUGAGUGGCAAGUAAAAUAUUACCAUCCCAUCAACAACCUCCUAAAAUCUAUGCAGUAAAUCUGGAACAGUUUAAUUAAUCAAACGGAAAAACAAAUUGUCAGUGAACUGAAAAUGCUCUGAAACAGACGGGUAAAGAGAGAAAUGGAGAUACCUCUCUAAGAAUAUUUUCCAACUGUCUCAUUCUCCCAUCAGAGCUCCCAUGAUUAGUUCCGACAGAGACCUUCAAUUCAUCCAAAGAAUUUUCAAGGUGACGGGUCCUGGACUCCAACUGUGUUAAUCGUGCACUAACACUGUCCAAUCCAUGCAUCAGAUUAUCGGCAUACUUCUUCAUGGUACGAUCAAUCUCAGACACCAACUUGGGGUCAACAACAUUUUGAUCCUUCUCCAAAAUGACUCUUCCAGGUUCGAAGGAGUCAAAAGAACUGUAAGUCUGUAAAGAAAAUCAAGUUCCAUCAAAAACAAAAUUAAAAAAAAAUGUAGAGGAACCUAUCCACUAGCUAAUAUCAAGUCCCUCUCCAAUCAACACAAAACCUUUCUGUUUUUGGAGGUAAAAAGAUACUUCCUUUCUUCUUCCUCCUAACUUGUCCUCUAGGCGUUCUUAUACCACAGGUAUACUUCAUGCACAAAUAAGUUAGUCUUAUAUAAUUUGGAUUUAAAAUGUCCUUUCAGUGAUAUAUUAAUAUCAAAAAACCAACCCCGUUAUCAAUCAAUGUCCACUCUCUCUCCCUCAGGCCUGAUUCUGAUCUAAUCUUCGAUGUUUCUCGGAACUAUUAUUAAAUCUUAAUGGUAUAUACUUUGUACAAUUUCAUACCCACUGAGGGCCUUUCCAGUUGCAACCUUUUGAUAACCAUACACCGCACAGCAUCACCAUAUAUGUUAAUUGUAGACAUUAAACAAACAAUAACAAUUUGAUCGCCGCCAAAAACAUUUGAUUUUUUGCUUCCUAAAUCAAGAUUGAGGAAUAAGCUUUUCACAUUAAACUUCAAGCGAAGCCGUAAACCCAUCAACAUUUGUAUUGCUUAAUCAGUAGUACUACUUCAGUUCUGCCAAGAGUACGCCUUUUAAGUACUAAAACAGCCCAAAAAAGGGAGAACGUGGAUAGGCCAAAAACAUAACCAACAUCGACCAACCUUAAAUUACCCAAAAUAUAUAAAGUCCAAAAUUGGUUUAGUCUUCCUAAACAUAAAAUACAAAGAUAAAGUAUAGACUGGGAAAUAAAACCAAAAAAAAAAAAAAGACGUUACCCUGAUUCCACCCGUAUGAGUCUUGUUGUCGGCUGAAUUCCAAGCCCUAGGCGGCGCAUCAAGAUUGCCGGAAUCGAUUUCGGUCCCGAUGGGGCGAAGCGGCUGGAAAUCAUAGCUGGGAAGGAUCUCCUCUUUCUUGUCGGAAUUCCCGAUGCGGUGAUCCUCGCGAGGGUUAAUCAGAUCGAUGAAGUCAUUAUGAGAAUUGAGGCUCUGCGAAUUGGAUAGAUCCAUGAUCUGUUUGUCCAUAAACUGGGAUGUAUUCAUCGAGUAUUCACUCAAUCGUAGUUGACACUUAAAUAUAUAUUAUUCUCGUAACACCAAUAAUAUAAUAGAUUAUAUGCAGUACUUCUUAAAUUAUUAGCAUAAAUAUAGAUAUAUUUGUAGAGAGAGAGAGAGAGUGGAAUGGAAAAAAAACGGUGGGAAAUUCUGGGAUGGUUCUGGGUUAUUCUUGCCUCUGGGAUUUGGCGUGAAGGGUUUUUGAUAAUUUGACGAUGUGAAAUUAUGAGGCGUCCUUCGUGGGAAUUUUAUUUUUAUUCUUUUCCUUUUCCUUCGUGGGAAAUUUAUCUAAACAAGACCCGUACUUCCCGUCGCCGCUGCACCUUGGAAUGGCCAAAAAACGAUGUCGUUUUUCGGAGCUUAAGUUGACAAUUUACUUGGAUUAAUUUCGUUUUGGCCCUCCCCGGGUUAUUUAUGCGAUUAUUGAUAUUUAGUUUCAAACUUUAAAAUAAUAUACCAUAAAUGUUUUUACCGUGCAAAAAAAAUGAAAUUUAUAAUUUAAUAAUUAAAAAAAAAAACCCAGAUGAGGCUAUGAUGUCUUCUUCCUUAAUUAAACUUUUUUGAAAAAUUUUUGGAAGACCCUUGAUUAGUAGUAGAUGUCUUGGAGUUGAUGGGUCCCACUUGCACACAACUCUUGCAUCAAAAACACUCUUUCUGUUGAAAUAAAGCCCCUAAGGGAAGGCACAUUGCACAUCAGCUACUGCGAUGCAGCUUAUUAGUUAGAGAAAAUGACAUGUUUCAUCUUUCACAAUUCGUAAAAAUAUUCUUUUAGUCUCUCAUAUUUGAAAUGAAACAAAUUAGUCUUUCACAUUUAAAAAUCCAAACUUUUACAUUUUAGAAAUAAACUCUCAGUUGUGAAUCAAACUAUCUAACAAUCCGGUUACAAAUUCUGAGGAUAGAAUUGAUAGAUCACUUGCAAAAGCAUAUUUCCAACAAAUAAAUUAAAAUAAUUAAAAAAUCUUAAUUAAAACCCAUUUACUUCUUCAAAAGCAAUCUUAAGUCGCUUGUCUACAAGCAAAUGGGUUUUACUUAAUAUUUUUUAAUUGUUUUAAUUUAUUUGUUGGAAAUAUAUUUUUACGAGUGAUCUACCAAUUUUACCCCCAAAUUUUGUAACCAGAUUGUUAGAUGAUUUGAUUCACAACUGAGAGUUUAUUUCUAGGAUGUAAAAGUUUGGGUUUUUAAAUAUGGAUGACCAAUUUCCUUCGUUUUAAAUGUGAGAGACGAAAAGAAUAUUUUUACGAAAUGUGAGGGAUGAAACAUGUCAUUUUUCCUAUUAGUUAAGGUACUGCAGAAGAAACUAUUAUGUCUGGAGUGACUGUAGAGAGAUGAUUGCAUGAGAUUGGCAAGUAUGUUCAUCUUACUAUGCAAGGGAAGGUAAUUUGGCAGUAGAUAAUUUAGCAAUUAUGGAGCAUUGUUUGCUCUAUUAAACAAUAAUUCUAAUGUCUCCUCCAAGCAAAUUUUUUGCAAGAUUUCAUGGAAAUAACAACCCAUAUAUUAUUAGAUCUCUCUAAAAGUGGCCAUGUAAAAAAAAUGCUAAUGUUCCGGUCAAUUGCUACCGAAAUUUUUGUUUUCUGAAGAUAAAACGUGCCUUAUCCUCAAAUAUAAGAAUAACGACCUCUGGAUAAAAUGCAUCUCUAGACUUAUAAUGAGCCAAUAAGGACUGAACUACCAUCAGACUAGACGGGUGCACUACUUACCCGUAUAAAUUUGAAAAAAUCAUAUAUUACUGCAAUAUGAUAGGAGGUAUAAUUUAAUCUCUUGAUCUCUCACCCACCAAGAUUUGUCGUUGAUAGUGGCCACGGCCAAAAUAACCGGUGGUUCUUUACACUCAGAGUUGCCAGGCUUAGGAUUUGAUUCCUUGGCGGUGGAAAAAAUCCCAAAGAGUCACUAACUGACCACUCGAUCCGACUCCAAUAGUUAUUGCUGGAGAAUUGACUAGCUUUAAUAGGAAAAUAGAUGCAAUUUCUAUAAUCAACAUCGCCUCUUGUUUGCCUCCAUAAUUCUGAGAUGAUUAGGAGAAUGACUGGCCCAAAACGGAGAGCAACUUUCCAUGGAUACGAACAUUAUGAAUUGAUGAGUGAUGACCCUAUUCCGACCGCAAAAUGCUUGUUUUCAAAUUGGGCAAUUAGCUGCACAAGUUGGAUAAAGCUCGUACUUUCCCUGGGAAACUUUCCCGUGGCCCAUUGGCCUCUUAAGCAUCCAGCGGUCAUCAGUUCUUUAACUUUUCCCAGUGCGGGGCAGAUCCCGUCCAAUACAGAGAAAACGAUACAGCUCAAAUCAAACCAACAAUGGUAUGGCGAUGCUCAGGCGGAAGCGUGAAAUCUAUUAAUUUUGGUUUUGCAUCAGAACAUGCCAACAAACUACCUCUCAUUAGUUAUUGGGCCCAGUUAAACACCGCCUAACAAAAUAUUUAAAAGAAAGUUUAGUGUGCUGAAUAUGCACAGAAGUGAGCGAGACAGACAGAGAGUAUUGGUAAUGCACUUGAUAGCACUUGAUAGCACUUUGUUCCGUCUCAGUUUACAUUUUUGUGUGCAAGAGUUGGAUACAAUUUUGGACUCAGGAUCCAAACCCAAUAAUAGUUAUCAGAACUGGUACUGAAUUACAGAAAGCCCAGAAGAAUUAGGCCAUGGGACUUGAACUAUGAUCAUGUGCCCUUCAUAUUCAAAUGCCACCUCAUUCCCAUUGACACGGCAAACGGUGGGCUUCUGGGACGAGAAGACCCUCAUUUCUCCGGUUCCCUUUACUCCGAUUUGUACGGCGUCGGCAUCAUCAUUGAACACCAUUGUCUGAAUGGCACCACCAGAGUUGAGCAUGUUCACCAGACCAAUCGGAGCAAACCGGACACCUUUGCCGCUAAAGACCUUGACGGGAGAGACAGUUACGAGGUCAAAAUGAAAUGGCUCCAGCGAUAUUUCGAAGUCGUCGGAUGGCUUCGAGAGCAGCAGCCUCUUCUCCCGGAAAGAGUACAGGGCAAACACUUGAACUCCAUCAACUGAGAUUGGCGAAGUCCCCUGCUUCCACUCCACAUCUUUGGGACUGAAAGUGGAAGUCACGGAAUGAGAAUACUGAGAGGCACAUUUAUUGCGUCUCGCUUCUCUGCACCAUCCUCCACCUUGGCAGUUAAAUGCCCCCACAACUCCGGUAUACUGAUGCAAGAAGACACACAAGUAUUUGACGAGGUUAAUAUCCAGUUGUGUCACGAGCUAGGAGAUGAUUGAGAAAUCAAGGGAGAGUAAAUUAACCGCUCACCUUGUUGAGGUUCCAUAUCUUAAGCAUGGUUUUUCCAUUGUGAAGAGGGUCUUCAAAGAGGCAAUCACGGGUAGGAAGCGCAUAGUACUGGCAACGCAGAAUUGUACCGUCAGGCAAGACGAGGCUCUUGAGGAGCUCGAAGUUGUGCUUCCCUACAGAGUCACUCACGUAGAUCGGUCCACCGGAGAUGGCUCGAGAGGCAGCGUGAAAUUCAGCACAGGGAUGAGUCGACUGGAACAUGUCCCAGUCAGGGUGAAUGAAAUUGCCCAUCCACAAGCUAUUGUAAGCGCAGUGAACCAUGUGACACCCCUGUAACCAGAAUGUGCCGUUGGGAUCACCGGAAGGAUCGGUACACCAAAAGUCAUCUCCUGUUGUUAUCACGUAACGUGUUAAAAGCCCAUACAAGUCGAAUCCAAUCACUCUGUAUUAUUGAGUAGGUGGCUCAAGGAAGCAGGCAGUUUAUACACGCACACGCGUAUGUUUUAGAUUAGAACUGGCUCGAAUGGAUUAGCUUUUAAUUAGUACCUUAAUCUUUAAUUAAUUUUCAUAAUCAAUGAAAACAUUUGACUCCCUAGAAGGCUUACGUCAGUAACAGAUAAGAGCCAGUCCCACACGGUUUUGCCAUAAAGUCGCAAAAUCAGCUGCUAUGUGAGUAAAAAGUAAAUAAAUGAAAACGGAGAGAGUAACGUACCGACGCGGCCAAGGGAGAUGGCCUGAGUUCCGAGGAACAUGAAGUCGUUGCAGUGCUCCAUGCUGGCAAUCACGCCAUUCCCUUUCAAGUGAUUUCUGACGGAAGACGUAAGGGCUUUGAAGUAGGCUUUUGCGAGCUCCACUCUGCCCCCAUAAUCCUCGCAAACCAUUUCCAGCAGCUGCCCCCCAUAAUUAAACAACAACCAUUUCAGUGUUACACGAAACAUGCAAGUGGACGAACGUGAACAAUUGAAGGUAAUAUAUAUAUAUAUAACAUAUAAUUUGACUGGACUUUGAACGCCUAUAAAUAAUUAAGAGAUACAGAAAGGCAUUAACGUGCCGACAAAGCAAACAUAGCAGUAGCAAAUCCAAAAAAAAAAAAGAAGAAGAAGAAGAAGGGAUUUUUGAUUUGUCCUAAUCUGAAUCUACUCGAGAAGAAGAAGUAAACGCUAGUAAAGACACGUGGCGGUCGUAGGUUUGGAAGUUACUCGGAAAACUUACAUGAAUCACGUCCACCUUGACUCCAUCAAUUCCAAUGGACUCCAGGUGAGAGUGAAGGCCUUCGUACAAUUGGUCAGCAAGCUCCGGCGGUACCAACCCAACUCCAUUGUUCACGAUCUUAUCCACCGCGAGAUCUUCCAUGGUCUUCUGCAGUCCGGGGGACAAUUUCGGUGCAAUCACUCUUGAUUCGGGCAGCUCCGGGAUGUCGGGUCUAAGCCCGCCCCAGUAUCCACAAAGCGCAUGCCACACGUAAACAUAGUCCACACUUUUGAAGUUGUCCUUGAGGUCCCGAAUGAAAGCACCCAUGCCUUUAUUUGGGCCGGCGCCGGAUCCCGACUUGCCGGGGCUCUCGUAGUCCCUGAAUUUGUAGUUCUCUUGGAACUUGAUGAGCCUGCAAGGCAUUUGUUCACCGGCGGAUGUUCUGUUCAUUCCUUCUGUGGUGAUUGGAUCGUCGUCGUGGGAGAUGGACUGCCAACCAUCGUCGAUCAGCACCAGCCCAGGCGGGCACCCUCCUUCCGCGAGGUCCUUCACACCUUCCCACACGCCUUGCGGCUGCACCGUGAGGUAGAAGGCAUCCCAAGUGCACCACCCGAACUUAUCCACAAUGCCCGGUGGAGUCUUUUCCUCCAAGAGCUUGAAGGUCCCCAGGUGGAACCUGACCACCUUCAUAGCCUCUUUGACCAGCGUGAAUGGAUCGUCUCCCACGUGCAUGUAAAGCACGCUCCGGAACAACGAGCCGUUGACUUUUGUCGACCCGCUUUCGACGCAGAGAUCUAUGUAGUCAUCUUCGCCGGGCUGAAGAGAAGCCCUGAAAGGGCCUUCGAUGAGCGGAAGGAGUAAGACGUAGGGGCGACCGGAGUCGGACUUAUCGAGAAUGACUAUUUGAGUUUCGUUUUCGAGGUCUGCACCUUGGGUUCCAAUCCAGUGGGUGGUCCACCAGACCUUGAACCUGAAAAUGCUCAUGAACCUGAUGUCUUUGAGCUUCCCAACCGGCACCACGUGACGGCUCUUUGCCUCCAGGCUGUCGAAACCUACGAAGCAGCCGGAAGAUGUUGUGACCGGCUUGUCACCGGUGGUGUAUGGGGAGGGUGUGGCAACGAUAUUGGCCGGAACUUCGGAUAAAAUGACAUGGUUAUUCACCAAGAAUUUUGAUUCGUCUAGACUGAUUAAUGACAGGUUGCAGCCAUCCACCAGGACGGAAAUGUUUGAGCCACCUUUGCCGAGACUGGGAGCCAUUAAUUGAUCAAUAAACUUGACAAGCAAGCAAGGAAAUACUACAACCUAAGAAAUUAUUGGGAGCAGAAAGCUCUUCAAAGAAAGAACGGAAAGCAGGGAUGAGAUUGGGUAGUUGAACCGUCCGAGAGUUAUAUAGAGAUGUCAAGUGAUGUCAGUAGCUCUUUAGAAAUGGAAUGAAGGAUCUUUACUCGAAUAUUUUUGUGUGGUAUACCUUGAACUAAAGCUUGCUCUUUUUUCUAUCGUUGAGAUGCUGUAAGAUUAGUGUAAGUUGCUUUAUCCAGUUCUGGCUGGCUAUGGCAAAUUUAUAGGCCGCGAUAGUGGUAAAAUUUAAAAGAGUUGAAGGGUCAUAACUAAGAGUGGGAAACUUCAAACGAAGAAGAUGAGGUGGUCGGUUUGGUUUCAACUUCGAAGAUUUGAUUUUAGGGGGGGCAAGGGUACUGUAGGAAAGCGCAUUAAUUAUAAUUAUCCUAGUGUCCUUUUCGUCGUCGAGAACAUUUCUUUUUCCCAAAUCCCACGGAGCCGUUAAUCCCCAGUUAUUAGUUACAGGUAACGUUCAGAGUAGAUGACAAGUGGUAAGUAGACCAAUUAAGCACAUGACAACUCUUUGGGUGGCAGAUGACAAAUUCAACCUCCAUCUUCACAAUUUUGGUAGUGCAAUUACCGUAAAAGAUUUUGAUGAUUGAGUUUUAAGGUUUUCUCUGAUUGCAGAUGAUUACGGGUAAUAUUUUUUUUUCUGAGGGAAUUACUAGUCAGAUAAAGUAGCAGAACAACAUCAGAACUCAAGGAUUAAAAAAAAAAAAAUGUAUGCAUAGUCCGACUACGAGAUAGGGGUGUGCGCGGAUUGGAUACUUAUCCCAUUCAUCGUUUGGUUGACCUGAUCCACACUUUGAAGGUCAGCUAUUUUCUAUUCUUACUUGUCCCAUAUAUUUAACAAGUACUCGAUUAUAGGGUACUCGCUGAGAUAAGAUCGAGUCAACGGAUUCCCGCUCUCCUCCACUUAGCAUUUAAUUUUUUUAUUUUAUACUAAUUUAAUUUUGUAUUUUACACAUUCAUCUAAGAUUUAUUAAAGAUUUUUUCUCAAAAAAACCUCCCACCAAAAAAAAAGCAUGAGAAGAGAAUACAAGAAAAGGAAUUAAAAGAAUUCAAAAUUUAAAAAAAUUGAAAUAAGUUGCACAUUUUUUUAAAUAUAUGUUCCUCAUUAAUUAAACUCUUUUGUAUGAAAUAUAAGAUUAUGACCUCUAUAAAUAAAUAUUGUAAAUAAACUAUAGUCUCUAAUAUUUGUAAUGCAAUUUGUUCAAUGAAAUUAUUUAUUUAGUUCUAAAAAUAUUAUUUUAUAAUAUGUGUAUAAAAAUAAAAAUAAAUUAAAAAAACAUAUAUAUAUAUAUAUAUAUGUGUGUGUGUGUGUGUGUGUGUGUGGGACGUGUCAGGUACCAACGGAUUUUUAAUUAUAUGACCCUAACUCACCUUGCAUUUUAGCAGAUACCCAACCUUCUUUUAACCCAAUCAAAUAAUACAUAUUGAGUAUCCUAAUUUUCGACUCAGAUCGAAUCGAAUAUGUCGAGUUUUUAGGUUAGCGGAUAAUUUUGCCCACCCCUGGUGCAAGAAGUCACGACCAAAACGAAGUAACAUGUAGAAGCGGCAAAGUAUUAGUACAAACCAGCAUAUACAUAUAACUGUGCCGUUAAAUGGAUUUGGAUGACUCCAACGAAUUUAAUGGCUUUAAAUGGAUAAACAUCUAAACUCUCAAAUUAUGUCGGUGGAUUUAGAUAGAUUAUUGCAUCAUCCAUGUGUGUCCACUUAACAGAAAAAGAGGUGCAAAUGAGGCGUGAAAAAAAAAAAACUUUAAAUUGUCAAGCAUCAUUAGAAAAUAGAUAAAACUUGACCAAGACAAAUAAAAUAUUAUAGGACGAAAGGGAGUGUCAAUAUGCAUACGGAAUUAGAUAUCAUUGGGUCUUUGAUUUCUCCACUAGUAAAUGAUAGUAUAGCUUAACUUUAGAAUCUGAUUUUUCUGGAAAUCAGCUGUAUGAUCUUAUCAUCAAACUUUUGUACUUAAAUGCGCAUCCUCUACCUUAAUGUUAACCUUUAUACCAUCUAAAAACAACACGAAAAAGGGAAAAAUAUCCGGGGGGAAAAAAGAAAGGUUUGAUCACUCAUUAAAUCAAUUGAUACACCGAUUUUUGUCCCUCAUUCGUGUCUUGGUUAUGGAUGACGGGAAUCCCUCACUGACAUGAACAACAUGAGUUUUUGCAAUCGACCUUUCAAGUCAAACCAUAUAAUCUUUGGAGAUCAUCUUUACAUUCUUUUAAAUUUUCUUAAAAUUCGAACAUAUAUAUGUAUGUAUGUAUACAUAAAAAUAUAUAUAUAUUGUUCGUAUUAAUAUCUCGACAUGCGAAUUUGUUUAAUUAUACAAAGAAGAAAAAAGUCAACAGGAAUAUUACGGGAUGGAGGAAGUAUUAUUGAUAAAGUGAAAGGGAAUCAGUGGAGCGAAGAAUCAAGAAGCUCAAAGUUUGAGAAUAUUCUCUCUUUAUAUGUUUGAUGAGAACAUUCUCCCUCUCUAUAUAUCUUCAAGCAAUGCAAUGACGGAGCAAGGGGGCUAGGCCCCAUAUGAAUUAGCCACCUUUAAAUUAAUUUUUUUUAAAAAAAUUUAUUUAUUUUUUUCAUAUUUUUAUAAUUGAAGUUAAUGUUUGAUAUUUUUAGAUGUUAUAUAUUUAAAUAGAUGAAAUUUAUUUUAAACAUAACAUAUUAAGACAAUUUUAUUAGAAAAAAUUUUGAUCUCUUUUAGAAAAAAAAAAAUCCUGGCUCCGUCACUAUUAUCUAGGGCUUCUAUGAGAAAAUCUGCUUUCCUGAUACCAAAACGGUUACUUUAAAUAAAGCUAUUUAUACUUGCAUCCAUUAUUUUAUCAUGUGAGAAUCUAAUCAAUCAAGAGGGGCUAAGGCUUGUCUUUUUGCAUCAAAUGCUACAAACGUUUCGAAAAGCAUAUAUUCUGUUCCGCCGCAUAUUCAAACUCCACUAUUUAUUUAUUUAUUUCCACGGCUCAAAGACAAAGGAAUCAGAAAAACAUAAAAAAAAAGAAGAAGAUGCAAAAAGAAAUAAAGAAACUGAAGCUAUGGCUGUAAAUUAAUCGAAUCUAGCUAACUUUUAUACCGUCAAACGAAUGUGAACUUUUGGACUCGAGUUCAAAUCCUAUACAAGUUUAAAAUUUAAGAUUGAAUUCAAUCCAAUCUAAUAGUAUUCGACAGGUUCGAGUAGGGGUGUGAAUCGAAAUCGAAAUCGAUAAUUCAGAAUUUUGAAAUCGGAAUUUUUCGAAAUUUUGGUAUCAGAAUUUUCGACUGAUUUCGAUUUCGAAUUCAUCAAUUCCGAUUUCGAAUUCAUUCCGUAUUCAAUUCGAAAUUCGGUAAAUUCCGAUUUCACCGAAUUCAUGAAUAUAAAAAUUAUUAUUAUUAUUAUAUAAAUAUUAUAUUACAUAUAUAAAAAAUAUUAUAUAUAUGCAUGAAAACGAAAUUGAAAUCAAAAUAGGAAUUCCGAUAUCACCGAAUUCAUGAAUAUAAAAAUUAUUAUUAUAAUAUAAAUGUUAUAUUAUAUUAUAUAUAUAUGAAAAACAUAUUUGAAAUUGAAAUAGGAAUUCCGAAUUUUGAUUUCGAAUUGUGAGUUCAAAAUCGAAAUUUUCGAUUUGAAAAAUCUCGUUACUGAAUUUGACCAAUUCGAAAUCGAAAUUUCAAUUUUCAUUCCGAAUUAUCGAAUUCGAAUUUCUGAAUUCAAUUUGAAUUCGGUUGAUAAAUCGGAAUUUUCGAUUUGCACACCCGUAGGUUCGAGUUCGAUUCAAAAGAUCAAAAUUCUAUUUGAAUUUUUAAUUUAUAAUAUCAUUUUACCACUAUUUAUGUAUAAAAUCUAUAUAACACAAUACUAAUAUGUGAUUUCAUGUAAAAUGCUAAUAUAAAAAAUUCUUCGAACAUUAUUGAGUCUUAACAAAUCAAGUAUCUACAUAUUCCAAUUGAAUAUGAUAAUUUAAUCAAAUAUUAAUUUUUGAUCAAAUUUAAACUCAACCUCAUCGAAAUUCAAAAUCAAUUCGUUUAUAAUCGUAACCCAAACAAAUUCGAUCUUUCGAGUUCACGAUAAUCGCUCAUGAGGACAAAUGUAGAAAAGAAAACCUUGACACUAGAAAUAGGAAUUCAUGCUCUUCCAAGGCAAUCGAGUUGGUCUCACUAAGGGUUAGUACACCCGAGAUCCCGUGCUUGAGCCUUGUCAUAAAAAUGGGGAAUAACCCAACAACUCGAAUAAGGGUUGGGACUUGAAGUGGGGCCAGAUGCUUUUGUUUGUAAAAAAAAAGAAAAAGAAAUAGGAAUUCAUUAUUUCUGUCUUACUAUUUUGAUUGUAAUUUGAUGCAUUAUUCAAGGGAAAACAGUACAAAAGAGAGUUGUAUAGUGCUGGAGAAAUAUGAAACGAAGCAGGGUAAAGAAGAAAAAAAGGGUCAAUUAGAAAGCAGGUAAAACAUUUCAAAUUAUUUUUUUAACACAUAUAUUAGAUUGCUGCAGUAUAUAUAUAUAUAUAUAUAUAUAUAUAUAUUUCAAAAACUCUAAAAGAUACUAAUUCAAAUGGACUCUUUAAUUCUCCUUGAUUAAGCAUGAGAUGGGACCCACCAAAAGACUAAUAAGAUCUCUAGGAUUUGGACAUCUGGCAUCAUUGCAGAGAAAGGGCAAAGAAGCGCACCAGCACCAAUUGAGCGCAAGGAUUGGAAGAUUAAUGACGUUACGUUUUCGCAUGUAACGAAAAACCCAAAAAAAACAAAGGUUAAUGUACUGUGAAAAGCGUAAGAAAGAAAAAUUUUAAAGAACAAAAGUUGAGGGCUGGGUUGGGAAUAACAAAAGGAUCUUAAAAGAAAGGUAAAAAGGAAAAAGGUCAUGGGGUCGGUUGAAUACCCUUACCAAAAGCGUGUGGGCCAUUUCAAGUUACGAAUAGCCCUAAAAUUAAAUAAACUGGGUGUAUGUGUGUAGUAUGGGCCAUUUUGAGAAUUUUAUUUUGGCCACCGCCUUGCGGUAUCCGUGCUUCCAAUGGGAAAACGUGGGGCGGUGGCCAUGGAGCGUUUGCCACGUGUAGGUGGCCCUGCCGCACCGACCCCUUGGCUCUGGAAACUGGGAGCAUUCAGUGGCCACCUGGAAUUCUGCGAGGACAAGUAAUCAAUAGCAGGAAGGAAAUCCGGUCUGGGUGAGGAAUGAGCGUCCAUAUGACUCUCUCUCUCUCUCUCUCUCUCUAACCAAAAGUCCGUCCAAAACGUUGACGAUGAAUGUUAAGAAUCCAACUGCUCAUAACUGCCGAGGAAACUGUGACCGUUAGCUACAGGUACAAAACUACCACCUGGUCGUCGUUCCUUUCUUACUCACACACGUACCAAUGAGCAGCUCACACUUUAUCGCUUUUUUUUUGGAUUGGGAGUCAAAUCAAAAUUAGAAACCGCAGUGACUGGGAUGAGUGAAUAGGGGGCAUAAGGUACGCGUGUAGUGAUUGUUGGUGAUGUGAUUAGGAUAAAAUUAGAUCGCUUUUUCGUCGGUGUCUUCCUGACCGCAAUCCGCGUAAUUUGGACGAAUUACGCUGGGAAGUGGGGGGUCCAAAUUACGCUGGGAAGUGGGGGGAGUUAAAUUAAACAGACUUUGACCUUUUUCUGGCAGUUAAAACCUGCUGUCUUGGGGUUGUGGGAACGGCGCGGAUCUAGAAACGGUGGAUUGAAUCUCUGCAUUGACGGGGGCGAAUCCUGCGGUGGUUUAAAUUAAUGACGUUUGCCACUGGUCUGCCUCUCGUCUUAUCUCCACUUUUACGUGUUUCUAUCUCUAAUCGUUGGAUGAGGAUUGAAGAAUUCUGGCCAAUCCCACUCCACUCGCCUCCCUCAACCUGCGUUAAAAUGAUAACCGAUCCUCAACGGUCGUGAAUUUUGUCGGUGUCCGGUAUCAGGGAAGCCAAGUGUCAACGACUACUCUACCGGAUAAGGUCUUUUGUCGGUGACAUAAAUGUAGGGUGUUAUUGGACUUUUACUUUUUUUCACCUUCCAAAGUUUUUUUUUUAAUUAAUCUUAUAUACACCCACAGUAUAUAUACAAUUUUUAUUGAAUGUAUAACAAUUUUUUUGAAUUUAAAUUUUAUCCAUAUGUCAUGCAUUCAACCACGAUAGUGUAUACAAUAUCAAUGUAUAUAAGAUUUAUUUAUUUAUUUUUAAAAAUACAACAUUGUUGAGGACCUAUCUAACUUUUGGGAUCUGAGAGCUCAAUAUCAUCAAACAAAAAUCUGGUUAUAACAAUUCUACCAAACAACCAUCGGAUAAAAUGUUUGAGGACCUAUCUAUCUAACUCAUGACCAAUGCGUGACGAAAAGAUUGUUGCAUUUAUUCCACAUUCGUUGCAGGAAAAACACCGACCAAUGUAAUAUAUAAAUAUGAGGAAAAACUGACAGAUAGCAUCGCCUGCACUCGAUGUAAACCAUCAGAGCAAGUUGUGUGAGAACCAUACCAGGAGCCUACUGAUUCAGGUUUUGUCAGGAAUUUUCCCAUGAACUGAUUGCAACAACUAACGACGGCAAUACAAUGUAGCCUGAUGGACUCGGCCUUAGCAUGAAGAACUUUCCAACGGAAUACAUACAAGUACAACAACAGUUGAUGUGCUCACCAGCAAGGCACACGGGGCCCAUUAUUUGUUCCGGUGAUUUGUUCUGUAUGAUAUAUGUAUGGGGCACAUUUACCCUCCGUCGUCCUUCUGCAUUGUUCCACCACUAACUAACGGAGUAACAGACCGCCGGGAUGGAAUUUGGAAAGGGCACGGCAACGGAAGGGCGAUAAACAGAUUGUUGAAUAUCAUUACGGAAAGCGUGGAAAUUGCUGCAUGGUACUACCAUACAUCAGCACAUUGCACUACCAUACAUCAGCACAUUGCACAUUCAAUUUUUUCUGCUUCCAUCUCUUAAUUUACAGCUCUCACAAUUUUUAUUUUAUUCUUAUCACGAGUAACAAAUUAUUCAUCAUUCUAAGCCUACUUUUUCUUCUUGGAAUUAAACUCAAAACUGAUCGAUGAUAUUUUCUUCUUGGAGUUACUCGAGGCUUCACCCUGGACUCCGAGUGCAGUCUGGAGAAAAGAAGAAAGUAUAUCAUUAAGUACUCAGAUCUCCAGUGACCUACAUAUUCACAGCUUGAAGUUGAGAAUCCAAACAUUUAUCCGACAUCAAGAUGUUGCACAUUAUUUUUACAUUCUUCAAAAACAUACGGCUUGAAAGAAAUUAAACUAUAUGCAGCUUACCAUGUUAAGCAGCCGUAGAGCAGCAGGC
rnacentral:lncRNA from 1 species